rnacentral:lncRNA from 1 species
UUUUUUUUUUUUUUAAUUGUAUGUAUUCAUAUCUUUUGGUGUCAUUUAGUCAUAAAUAUUUAUGGUAUUUUUUGCACGAUUGAGGCCACCUUAAUCCCUAAUUGUAAUCAAAAUUUGAAGAAUUGAAAGUUGAUAAUAAUUAGAUAUGUUGAGCAGAAUUAUAAUAAAGUAUCUUCCGUUCUUUCUUUCCCAAAAAGAAAAAAGGAAUAUUAUUAAUCAAAUCUAUAAAAGUAAGAAAUAUGAAUUUUUUUCUUCGUUUUGGCAGACUGAUUUCGGUAACUUUGGUGAAAGAUUGAAAAGGCCCGAUUAGAUGUUAAAUCACGAAAACCCGGACAGACCCAAUAAUCUCAGGCAGCCAAUUUUACGAUUAUUCCAUUGAUUAUUCAUCAGCUUCUUGGAAUUUCUCAGUGAAUUCAACGGUUCUUUGACGGAGUGGAGAGGGAGGAACUAGGAAGGAAGGAAGGAAGUAAAUUAGGUGAUUCUAUUCAAUUCCUUUCCCAAUUUCCCCCUUUUGAAGUCCAAUCCGGAAACGGUAUGCAAUAAUUUCUCUUGGAUUUUUGUUUCUUUUUUCAACCAAUUGCAGAGUCCUCCUUAUUCUCAUGCAUUUUUAAUCAUUUUUGCUUGCUUUUGGACCUCUUCCCACUGUAAUUUUGUGUUACAUUUUCUAUUUUUCGGGUUUUGUCAUGACCCAUUUGGUUUUUUUUUCUUCAGAUACUUGUUUCUUGUUGAUCCAGAUUGGUUCAGGCUGGAAUUUGAUUGUUACUGGGGUUGUCAGUUUAGGUAAAUCGCGACCCACUUGUGGAUCUUUGUUAUACUCUCGUUGUGGUUGUUCUUAGUGUCUUCUUGUCGUUUUUGUCGCUUUAUUUUCUUCUCGUUUCUGCUGUUUGUGGAAACCUCCUACCAAGAGUAGUAAUGCAAACAGUAUAGUUGUUCACACUCGUGAGUUUUUCAUUUACUUUCCGAAGAUCAUUUGGAUUUUUAGAAUCGGUUUAUUUGUCCUUACUUUUUUAUGCUACUUUUCAGUGUUGUAAAGAGGUAUACUUUUUCUCGAGCAUCCUUUGAUCCGCAUGUAAUGCAGGUUUUCUAGUACAUUGUUUCACCUCGCGUUGAUUGUAUUCAGUACCAGUGAUAAGUGGAAGAAAACACGUUAAUCGUUAGAUUAGCUGUUUGGCCUCGUUCUUGAUUAUCGGUUAAAGGCUCGGAUAUUUUGUGAGGGAAGUGGAUAGUGAUGACGAAACACUAGGGGGUAUGGUCCUGGAACUGAUGCAACAAAAUGAGCAGGUCCCCUUCAUUCUCUGUGAAAUCAGAAGUUAAUGUGAAGUUGGAUCCAGAAUCUCUUCAAAAAUGGGUUGUGGCCUUUUGCAUUAUUAGGUUUGAUCUUGAACAGGGUCAACUCAUUGAGGAGUGCUAUCCUCCAGACUGUCUUACUCAAGAUGAGGAACUUGAAGUUGCGUUUAGUUCAUUUCCCGAUUCAAUUUCGCAGCACCAGAACCGUUCAAGCAUUCAUGAUUGUAUCUUCUUUUUCCGGCUUCGAAGGAAGGGAGUUUCUCAACCAAGAAAUAUAUCUUCUGAGAUAACUGAAGUGGAUGAGUUAUCACAAAAUACCAAUGACUCUAAACUUCCAAGAUCAAAGAGCAGCCUUGGUACCAAGCCCAAGUACAUGUAUGGUUUUGUUUUUAAUAGGCAGAGACACGAUGAGAGGCUAAGAAGAGGUGGAGAGCAGAAGUCUGUGGUAAUUCUGUCUCAUAGUCCUUAUUCUACUGUCUUUAAACCUCUGUUGCAAAUCAUGGGUCCAUUAUAUUUUGACAUCGGGAGGAGGGCUCUUGAGCAUAUUGCUGCUUAUGUUUCGAUGUGGCCUGCUCCAGUGCCCGGUAAACAAAUGGAGCUUCCUAUUGGAAAUGCCAUGCUUAAAGCACACUUGCCACCUGUUCAUAGUCUGGUAAUGGAUGGUGAGACAUUUUCCGAAGAGUCUACAUCCUCUAUGGCUCCUUUUCUUCCCAAUAAUCAGUCAGUUCCUCAGGGUCUUUUCCAUGAUUCUGAUCUCUUUGGUACAUUCCGGGGUCUUCUUUUGCAGCUCUGGCUGUUGUGGGAGUUGCAGCUUAUUGGUGAACCCAUCCUUAUCAUUGCACCAACGCCUCCCCAGUGUUGUGAAGCUGUUGCUGGUCUUGUUAGCUUGGUUGCUCCUCUUCUUUGUAGUGUUGAUUUCAGACCUUAUUUCACCAUUCAUGACCCUGAGUUUUCACGUUUAAACGCACUUCAAGAUGGAGCUACUUUCCCACCAAUGGUUUUAGGGGUGACGAAUCUUUUUUUCCUUAAAGCUCUUCGUAAUAUUCCUCAUAUUGUCUCAGUUGGAAACCCUGCUGUUAAUCGGCUUGCCCAGACAUCCAGGUCCUCUUCAGGUAGUGUUCCUGGCGCACCUGAAGGGUUUGGAUUUCGACAACUAUCCCUGAAAAAAUUCUCCCCGUCAAACUUGCUCAAUGCUGUCAAGUUGAGGAGAGAUGGUCCGCUAUGCCUCAUGACGGAACAUAAGGAAGCCAUCUGGAGCACAUACCCUGCAGCAAUGAAGCCAGACACAUCGAUCUUGAAUCGGCUUAUUGAUGCUGGCUUAUCACCAAGGGUUGAGGAGUCUAUGUCUGUUGUCAACAAUGAGAUACUGCGUCGGCAUUUCCUGGAACUUACUACCAACUUUUUGGCUCCUUUUGGGCCGUACUUCCGAACCACCACUCCUUCAGAAGGAUGUUCACCAUUUGAUGAGCCUUCUCGUCCCCAAUUUAGUGCUGAUGAAUUUCUUGCCAAUCUAUCAACGAGAGGUCCAGGAAAAUUUUUGGCUAAGCGAAUGAGAUCUAACUGGCUGGAUUUGUACAGGUAUUGGGGGUGUUCCAUUCACUAGCUAUUGUAUUUUUUUCUUUUUCAUAGGAAGUAUUCAUCACCCUUUAAGAACAGUUUUAUUGAAUUUUGUUUUGUUCAUAUCAAUGGACUUGUUAAACUAUUCCAUCUAGGCGGUUUCUCAAAGGACCAAACUUCAUGCCUUGGUUUCAAAGGAGGUGUGCUGUUGCAGAACAAGAACAGCAUAGACUAUGGAGGCAAGCAAGAAUGAAUUCUGAUAUACCACGGCUUAUGUCUAAAAUGCCUGAAUUGGAAGUUGUUGAUUUAUUUAAUGCGAUUGAAAGACAUCUUCUAAGAGAAAUGGAGGUAUUUUUCCCAACGGUCCUUUUGCUACUAUUUUAAUUACAAAUAAAUUUUGAUUAGUUUCCAAUUUUAGUUUUUUAGUUCUGUUGGAAGUUUCUUUUUUCCUUCUAAUACGUUUUUUGAAAGGUAUCUGAAUGCUUUUGAGUAGGCUAGGUCCUUUUACUUUAUUUUAUUUUAUUUAUUUUAGUGUGUGGGUUUCUGAUCCCUCUGAAUAUUAUUAUUACACUGCGUGAUGUUUUAAAUGUGAUUUUAAAGAAUAUUUUAGGCUUGAUGAUCAUAGAUGGCAGUGAAGGCAGACAUUGUUGAUGUUAUUGAAUAAUUGGUAGGAAUUGGAUUUAGCCUUAUUGAAAACCAUAUUCAUAAGAAGCAUGUUUAGUAAUGAAGAAUAAAAAUUAUAGAAGGUUGGAAUCUCAGGCCAGGGGAACCGUUGUAAACCAUUCCGCUUAUCAAAAUAAAAAAGGGAUAAUAUUAGAAAAACCUCACCAUGUCUCUCUUCUAGUCCUAUUCUUAGGCUAACAAAAACAAAUCCAUGGGUCACGAACAUAGCCAUGUGGCAUGUCUACGAGGAGGAAUCGAACAAAAUUCCUUUAGUCCAAGUUGACAAUAAAUCUCUUGCCGUCUUUAAACCGUCACCCUGGAAGCAACUCUGGAAACUAUCCUCAAUAUACUUGGGAGGACACCAAACUAAUUCAAAAUGUUGACAAAUGAAAUUUCUACCAUUCGAAGCAAACAGACAAAAAAUGGGCGAAUGGUUGAGCAACCUUUCGUUCGUUUCAACUUAUAGAAUUAACUUGAGGAGCAAUAAUCCAGAGCAGUAGUUGGUUCUCUGAUCACAAAGGCUUAUGAAAAAUAAAAUUAAAGAACCAUGGUGUUCUGAAAAAAUUCUAUCCCUUUUCUUAUAUGCAUGUACAUUGGAGUAAAAUCAGAUAUUAGCAUGGAAGGGAAGAUAGUGGAUGGAAGAAGAAUGUUUGCUGUUUCUUUUUUCUUACUCUUGUUUCCCCCUCCUUUUCUUUUAUCUUCUUUCUUUACUAGUCUCUUCCCAGCCCUUCUUUUAUAUGAUCUUUUUUAAGUUUGCAAAACCCACGAGUGGUAUGGGGUUUGUUUCAUGAUCUACCUUAAUUUGUGUAUGUAUUCUAUCCUGCACUUAGUGAACAGACUGGCACUGUUAGACUUCUGUAUGGACGUAAAAUCUUUCAAUUCCUAUAUUUGGGUAAAAUAGUAAACCUAAUUGUGAACUCCUCAUCAUGUGCAUUAUGAAGAUAUCUGGUUUAAGCACCAGAUAACAGCUUUUAAGUAUGUUAGAUACUCAAACACAGAAAACUCAAAGAAAGCAAAUGAAACACUAAACAACGGUAUAUUGCAAUGUCAAGAGAAGUUGCAAUGUACCUAAUAUACCAAUAGCCGUUCAAGAGGGUUCUCUCUCUCAAGGUUCCUCAAUGGACAAUCCCCUCACCAAAAUGAUCUCCCACCCCUAAGGUCCCAAACUCCCCUUAUUUAUAUCAAGUCCACAUUCCCCUACUGCUAUUCUACUAGUAUUACCCUCCCAUUAGUUAUCUCCAGAAUAAUGGUGAACUUUCACUGUUUAUUGAUUUUUAUAUGACAAACUUAUAGACUAAGAUGCAGUAUAGCAAGACAGCUAUGCUGCUCAAAUAUGUUGAUUGUGGUUUAUGAUAUAUAUUCAAAAUGCUGUUAUUUCAGUUAUGCUACUUUCAUCAAGAAUAUGUAAGAAAUAAAGAGAAAAUAUGAAGUGAUCACAAAAAAUUGAAGGAAAUUGUACAUUUCUUACAAAAUAAUAAUAAUAAAAGAAAAUAAAAAUAACAUAAAAAACUGACAAACAUAACUAUUGGAAACAUGCUUUAAAAAUGACCAGAAAGGUCAAUCGUUUUAAACUUUAACACGUUUUCUCAACUUAUAUUUUAUUUUUGUUGUCUAUAUAUUUGAAAGUAGAAUAGUUGGCAGAUUAAAAUGUCAAUGUUUCCUUUUCUUUAACACUUGCACUUGAAAAAUGUUUGGUGUCAGGAUGAAUACUCAAAUUGGGGAAGUUCAUUUUCCGUAGUAUAUAAUUCUUUAGAUGUCCUAGAAAUUCAAGAAAAUAAAAUAAAAAAAGAUUCCCCUUAUUAACGGUGUAAAAUUGUGUUAGAUUCAAUGUGUAUAAUAUUUUGAAAUUAUUUACCCGCUAUUGUACCUUAAUCGCACCUUCUUCAGUUGUCUACAAUAUAUAGGAUAAUGUUUCUACUUGUUCAACUGUUCUACUAUUCAUAGAUAUGUAAGUCUUUUCAGCUGGGUCCAGGCCUCAAUUUCAUACAAAUUUGGCAAUGAUAGAAAUUAGUUACUUGAGACAAAUAAAGAUGACUGUGAUUGAAUAUGCAUGUUCGAUGACCAUAAAAAAUGACGUAUUUUAGGAGUUUGUGAGACCAUUGAUUAUUUUUAUAUGAGAAAUUGGGAACGAUGAAAUGUUGAAAGAAAAGGAGGAAAGCUAAGUCCCAGCCAAUGAAAAAAAAAUACCAAAAACUCUUCCAAUUUGUUCAUGAAUCAUUUAAACUAUAGUUGUUGGAGACCUAGAAUUUGCACUUUCCAAAGAAGACAAGUUAUGAAGCGUUUGACAAAACAACCCUUCAACCAACAAGUCUUCCUGUUUGUCACUAAAAGCAAUAUACGAUGCAUCCACACUGCAAAUUUCUCUCUCUGUUUCUUGUUUAUAAGAUGUUUUGCACUAUAUAUUUAUGUUUCAAACCCCAUCUUCAGCUGCAGGAAUCCAGGAGAGCUUAUGUAGACUCUGUGGCAACUUGUCAGAAACUGAAAGGGGAUCUGCUGACUGUUUUCAAUGUGCUUCCUAAAGACAUGCAACAACUCUUGCUUCUUAAUCCACAAAGGGCAUCUCUUCUCCGUGGAAGUCCUGAACCAGCGAAACUUCCAGGGCGUCCGCUUGUACAAGUUGGUGUUGUAUCACCAAGAUAGUACUGAAUACAUGUUAUGAGUAAGUAGCCUCAGGCAAAAAAUUGGUUUUCUUCUGAUUUUUAGAGCCAGCCCUCAUUGGUUUGUUCACAUACAACACUUGAUGGGGAGAUUUCCCCCCCACUGGCUGCUGCAAAUGUUUUAGUAGGUACCAUUUUAGACCUCUCCUAAUCUUUAUACUUAAGAUUCAAUCUGAUAAAGUAUUAGGAUGAAUUAUAUGGUAUUUCAUGUUUUUAAAAACAUGUUUAUAUUUCUACAAAUAAACAGAUGACCAAGAAUGGUGGAUAUGGUGGUUGUGUUACUUUUCAGUCAUCCAAUUUGACAUCUGCAACCUACUGUGAACUUAUGGAUCAUCAAAAAUUCUUUCAGGAGAUGAUAGUUAGCCUUUUCUUUUACUAGAAUUUCUGAUUUUGUAUUGUCUUCAUCACUUCAAGGAGAGGAUAAUGUCAACUUGUAAUAUGUAACUUAUAUUUUUGUACCGAGUCCGAUCCAGCUUUUAUCGUGUAGAUGUAAAGUUAAAGCAAAUAGUUUCAGCUUCAAAACUCUGAGACUGUUGCAAGAGAUGUUAUACAUCGCUGGGUUUUUAAGCGUUUUGAAUUUUAUAUCAGUGGAAGGAAUUAUCUAACUGUAGCAAUUAUUUUCAAAUUGCCCUAAGUUAAUGGUUUUACGUCAAACAAAGCAGUUGAGUUAUUCUUUUGCACUCUUCAUUCUUCUAACUUUUCUUCUUUUAAUGGGUUAGGAGGAAUAUAACCUCCUUUGGUAUUUUUUUUCAAUCAUUCCUUUAUAAAAUAAUAGUAAUAAUAACAAGGGUUAUAUAUUGGUCUCGAUAACUUUUCCUUUAAUUUAUUUUAGUUCUUGUACUUGUAAAAUGUUCGUUUUUGUCCUCGUACUUUUUACUUUUGUUUAUUUUGGAUUCUAUUUGAAAAUGUUUAUUUAGAUUCUUUUACUUUUAAAAAGUGACCAUUAUAAUUAUUUUUAAGGAACUAAAUCAAAUGUUUAUUUAGAUUCUUACUUUUAAAAAGUAACCAUUGCAAUCAUUUGUAAAGAACUAAAUUGCCACUUCUUAAAAGUAAAGAAUCGAAGUUAACAGUGAAAUGACCGAAACCAACAUUUUGGUUUUUUCACGAAACUUAUCAAAAACAACAUUUUAAAAAAUACAUCCAUUUCAAUCAACGAAAAUUGAAAAUUGAUCAACGAAAAUUGAAAAUUAAGAGAUAAAAAUGAAGAUUUUAAAAUUACAUCAACUAAAAUAAAUUACUUAUGGUGUUGAUAAUUUACUUAUGGUGUGUUUGCUUCAAGGAGUUAUGAAAUAGUAUGGAAAUAGGAUUCGUGAAUUUCACAUCGUAUUUGUCCCAAGAAGUUAUAUCAUAGCCAACAAAAAUUUACUUGAACUGAAUGUGCUAAGAACCAAAAAUCCCCCCUCGUUCAAAUUACCUCCCACUUGCACUAAAAAUACAUCUUAGGCUGUGGAUCUUCAUAGUUCACAAUUCAUAGUUCCAUAAACUUCCCAAAAUGGCUCAGUAUAUAUAUAAAAAUUCAAACUUUCUACAUAGGGAAGAUUGAUUAUUAACCAUUUAAUAAAAUUGAAUUAUGGUUGGAUUAGGAAACACAGAUGAUGGAUUGUGGAUAAUGAAGUUCGUUGCUAUUGGCUUUACAAGAUUACCCUUGGAUUCUCUUCCUUCAUCAUAAUGUGAAGACUUGGUGAUUAUGACUAGCCAAGUAAACCACUCCACAACUGAACUUCAGAAUAUUUCUUCAUCUCAAAAUAAAUAUAAAAAAUAAAAAAAGCAAAUGCAACCUUAGGAGAGCACACAACAGUACAAAUACUCAAAUAAAUAAAUCCUAUUUAAAAUCACUUCAAAUCACACCAUCAAACAAUUCAAAACAAGAAAGCAAGCAUACAACUAAAUGCUAAGAAUUCCAAAAGAAAUAUUGAGCAGUUGGCAAACAGCCACAAAACUUUGAAAUAGAUGGUUUCAAAACUCAAUUAAAGUACUCAUUCAGUUCAGGUAUUCUGGCUUAGAACCAAAAUAUCACUAAAGCCACACAUAAAAGAGGUGAAAAUGAUACGAGCCAUUCUAUUUUGAAGACAAAACUAAAAAGGGGAUAAACAUAACAUUCAGCAACUGCAAAUUGGUGAAGUGGGGGUUUGAUCUAACGCAAUCUUCUAGCUUCCCUCUCAGACUCCAACAGAGUAAGAAUGUCACCUUCCCUCACUGGUCCCUUGACAUUCCUCAUAAUGUAACGAUUUUGAUCAUCAAGAAACUUAACUCUCACUUGAGUCACUUGACCUCUAGAUCCAGUUCUACCCAUUACUUUGACCACAACAGCAUGCUUGAUUUGGGAUUCCAUUCCUGCACGAACCCACCAAUAACUUAAAUCUUAUUCAAUCCAAGAAUCUUUUCCUUUACUAUACAGCUCCACUUCUAAAUUUGAACAACAUAAUAAGUUCAAGGAACAACUAGUGGGAAACAAAGAACUUACGUAUAUCAGUGCAUAAUAUUCUAUGAAACUAGAGAUUUGUUAAAGAAACCAACUUUCAGAAAGCAUAUACGAGUUACAAUUCUAAUUACUUAUAUUUUGAACCAAGAGAAGGAGGGAGAACGAAAAUGUCUGCAUAACAUUUCAAGGUUUCCAACUCAUAAACAAAACGAACAACUGCAAAUCAAAAUAUCUCGAAUCUCAAUCCCAAUAAUCAUCUGUCUAUCAUGAAACAAGAUCAUAUAACCAACAACCAAAAGACAAUAACACUAAUCACCGAAGGCAAACAAAAGCAAAACUGAAGAAUAAAUGCAAUCAUUUGUCAGCUUUCUCGCAGAGAAUACAAAUAUGAAGUGCUGCCAAUGCUAUGGAUAAGGAACAGAACAAACAAAGAAAAUCACAAAAAAUCCAUGGAUCGAAGAAGCACGUCGAUACGAACCUUAAACGAGGGAGAAAGAAUGAGGGCGGAGAGAACUCAGUAGAAUUUGAAGACACGCCGCCGGCAACACAAAUGGAAGGGGGGGGGGAAAGGAAAUACUUUGGGCACAAUAACUAGGGUUUCUGAUUGUGGAUGAAGACGAAUAUACCCCUCUAUGGAGAACUCAAGUGUAAGGGCUUUCUGGUAAUUUAAUAUGAAGGCUGCAUACGGAAAAUUAUUGUUAUUAUUAUAUUUAAACAACUAAAAUUUUACAUUUUACGUCACCUAAUUCAUCGGAUUAAAAAAAAAUGCAUAUUUAAUUAUGUUUUGAUCUCAUUUAAUUAUGCUCGAUCUUGUAAUUGUAAUAUGAUUAUUAAGAUUAUAUCUUCCUACUUAUUACUAAAUCAACUCAUGAUGAUUUAUUUUUAACCAUGUUAAUAGAAAGAUGAGAUGUCAUUUGUUUGAUAACAUUUUGUAAAAUAAUUCAAAUUGUAGAAAGUUGUUUGUUGGGAUAAUGAUUUGAUAAAUAAAUGUAUGGAUGAAAAAUAAAAUAGAAAUUUAUUAAGUUUACACCAUAAUAACAAUUAGGUAAACAUGAACAAAUGAUAAUCAAAUCAAUGGUUUAGUAAACGUGUUUAAAAACAAUCCAAUUAUUGUACAGUGAGACUCAUUUUUAUUGAUGGUUAAGCCAAAAUCAACCCAAUUUAUAUUGUUUCUCACUUUUUAAGUAUUAUUAUAUAUUUAUAUUGAAAAUUUGAAUCCCUCUGUCCAAAAAUCUUCGAAAGAAAGAAAAUAUAAUCCUACAGACAAGAAAUUUUAGGAAAUUCUUAAAUAUGUAUUUAUAAUUUUAGUUUUGUGUGUUUAAUGGUCUUUUUAAACAAAAUCAAUACUAUAAUUUUGUUUAUUUUAAAAAACCGUAGAAAUCAGAUUUAAGUUUAUUAAAACCUUAAUAAUAUAGUAAUUAUUACAUACAUUUGAAUGUUUGAGGAACUAUUAAAUAUAAACACAAAAUUAAAAUUGUAGGAAGUAAAUUUAUAAUUUAAUAUCAACAAAAUAUAUUUUUGGUCAAUGGGAUUAGAAGUAGUUGGUGUUCAUAUAGUUACAAGUGAUAAAAGUUAAGUUUGCAAUGAGGUGAAGCAAAAAGUUAGAGAAGUGGUCUAGGGUUGAAAAGGAAUCUGCUAUCUAUGGGUGGAAAGGCUCCAUCAAAGCAAUGUCCUAACGAUCCAAAUUAUACUAUAAGUUGUUUGAGGAGCUUCCUAAUAGCUUUAGGAAAGAUUUGAAAAGAAUGUAUGCUUGAUUUUAGCGGGGUUCUUUUGCGGAGAGGAAGUGAAAAAACUAGAGAAGUUGGAAAAAGAUGGGUAUGAACAAGGAGUCAUCUUACAAGAAUUUUGAAGGAAAGAAAAUUUCCAAACGGAGUAUUCUUGAAGGCAAACCUUGGCUAUACCAUAAAGAGUAUCAUGUGGGUGGAUUAUGUCUGCUCAUGGCAUUUGGAGAAGAGUAGGGAAUGGUAGAAGCAUUUCAAUUGAAAAGGAAACUGUGGAUUCCAAAAGAAGACGGCUUCAACCCGAGUUGGGCUCAAGAUUAGGCUAAAUGUUUCAAGUAGUUUUUUUUGUUUAAUGAGUCCCUAGUGAAAGAGAUCUUAUUCCUACCAUUCCAAAUCUAUAUGCCAAAGAAGUUCCCUCUAUUCACUGUGGAGACUACAAAUCAACGCAAUUUUUCAAGGGAAGUAAGGAAACUUUUUCUAUCUUCUCCUUUUUUAUUGCUUUGAUUGGCUCAAGCAAAGGUUGAUGAUCCCUGCUGAAUUAUUGGGAGCUCUAGAGGACUACAUGUUUGAGUGAGUGUGUUGGACUGUUGGUUGUUCCACAUAUGGUAGUUGAAUCAUAGUUGGCAUGGGAAAUGGAGACAUUUGAUUGUGGAUAAUGAGUUCUCUUGGUACUGGCUUUAGAAGAUUCCCCUUGGAUUCUCUUCCUUGAUCCUAAUGGGAAGAUAUUAUCAUGACUGCACUCCACAAUUGAACUACCUUUAUCAUCUUAAAAGAACUAUAUAAAAAGAAAAAAAGAAACCCAUUUCAAUCCAGCAGAACUUAACAGUACAAACACUGAAAUAAAUAAAUCCGAUAUAGACUUGUAUAUUCUUGAAACCAUAAACUUCAUUACUUCAUUAGGGUCUAAUUUUGUUGUAGUUCAAAUCUCUGCAAAACAUAUUUCCAUCAUUCAACAUCAUUUUAAUGUAGGCACAAUUCGGAUGAGUAAAGAUAUAAUUUGGAGUGAUUUUUAAACCUAACAAAAGCUAUUUUAACCACCUCAAAACCACUCGUCUCAAGAAUCUGCUACACCCAAGAAAGUUAGAAUAUAAAUAAGCAAACAAGAAUUCCAAAAAAACACCAAUAAUAUUGAGCAGUUGGCAUAUAGCCACAAAAUUUUGAAAUAAAUGGUUUCAAAACUCAAUUAAAGUACUCGUAUUCUGGCUUAGAACCAUAAUGUCACUAAAAUCACACAUAAAAGAGGAAAAAAAUGAUAAGAGCAAUACUAUUUUGAAGUUAAAACAUAACAUUCAGCAACUGCAAAUUGGUGAAGUGUGGGUUUGAUCUAACGCAAUCUUCUAGCUUCCCUCUCAGACUCCAACAGAGUAAGAAUGUCACCUUCCCUCACUGGUCCCUUGACAUUCCUCAUAAUGUAACGAUUUUGAUCAUCAAGAAACUUAACUCUCACUUGAGUCACUUGACCUCUAGAUCCAGUUCUACCCAUUACUUUGACCACAACAGCAUGCUUGAUUUGAGAUUCCAUUCCUGCACAAACCCAAGUUCAAAGAAUCUUUUUCAUUUAUAAUAACCCCUUCUAAGUUCCAAGUAGAUAUUUGCUAAACAAUCUGCCACCAGAUAACAAUUAGUUACAUAGCUACCUUUCUUAAUUCGAACAACCUAAUUUUAAGUUCUAGGAACAAGAAAACUAGUGACAAACAGAAAAACUAUUAAAUGUCAGUGCAGGAUAUGUGUAAAAGAAAUCAACUUUCAGAAAGCAUAUGCGAGUUCCAAUUCUAAUCACUUCAAUGUAUUGAGUAUCAUGAAACAUUUAACAAACAUUAAUAUGGUUCUCCAUUUAAUCAACUACUCAAAAAUUUUCCUCAGAGUAGGAAUUCAAUCGUGGUAACAAAAUCACACAACCAACUGACCGAAAGAUUCACUCCAUAAAUCUCACACUAAUCGCUAGAGGCAAACAAACACAAAAUCGAAAAAUAAACGCUUGUUUAGUAACUAUCUCGGAGACACGAGGUGGUGCCAAUGGUAUGGAUUCGAAACAAAAGUAUGAGCCAAAAGAGAUCACCAUGCAUAGAAGAAGGGAGUGAAUACUGACCUCAAACACGAGAGAAAGGCCGGAGAGAACGAUCUGUGGAAUUUGUAGAGACGGCGCCCGAGAAUUGAUGAAUGCAAAUGGAGAGGAAUAAAUACUUAAAACCUAGGGUUUUUGAUCGUGUGUGAAGAAGACGAAUAUACCCCUAAGUCUCACACGUUUGAAAGACCAAUGAAAGAAAGAGGAAAAAAAAAUCAAUCUCGAAAUUACAUUCAAAUUAUUAUCUAAAACAAGUUCAAAAUAAAUUAUAAUAUUUAUAAAUAUUAUCGUCUAUUAUAAGAUAACUAAUAAUUUGAUAUGGUAAGUUUAUUGGUAUAGACGAUGCUAUUUUGUUAUAUUUAUUAAUAUUUUGAAUAGUUUUGACAUUUAAAGUAAUUUCUCUAUUGUAUACUCAUUUGAAAGCUUGUAAAUCUAAUAAGCAUGACUAUAAAAGUUUAAAAACUAAAUUUAUAAUUUAGUAUAAUUUAGUCUUUUAUUUUAGUUUCCUUCUCGAACCUAUACAGACAAAAGAGUGACCUUUUCUACUUAGUGAGAAGGAUCGUAGAAUGAGUCCUUUAUCGUAGAGUUUUUUCUUCCUCAAGAUGCAAACAAGUAUUCUUAAGAUCAUCAUCAACAUGAAAGUGAUCGAUCAAAAUGAUGUGUUUUGUAACUUCAACAUAAGAAGGAAAUCCUAAGCUUGAGGUUAAUUUGAGGAAUCUUUCAUCUUCUAAUAUGGUCGUGGCUUCUUUGGAAGGGGAUUUUUCAUGAUCAAAAGGGGCUCUUUCACCGGACGAGUUGGAUAAUGUGUGUGAGAAAUGUUGGUUCCUUGAAUCGUACCUCUCAAAUUAGUCAUUUUGAAGGUUGAAGCAUGAUAUGUUUUUUUUUUUAAUUUAGGAUUCUUAUCGAGGACACAUUACUCACUUUUCGAGAAAAGACAAAACUACUUCCAACAUUGCAACUUUAGCAUUCUCUUAGUGACAUUUUUUGAUUAGGAAAGACAACCAUUCAAUUAAUUUUUAAGAAAAUGUUAAUGGAAGGAAUAGUUGUUUGUUUGUUUGUUUUUUAUUUCUUGCUUAAAAUACUAGUGAACUCUUAGUUGCUAUUAUGAAUGGCAAAAAGAGUAAACCUUGUCCACAUUUGGUGAAGUAAUUAAUGAGAAUUAGAAUGUAUACUCACAUUUUUAGGAAAUCUACAUUUUUAUUCUCAUGCAUUUUAAAAGUUGCAAUCAAUAAGUUUUAUAGUAAUUAUGAAUCCUCUUUUUGAAAGAUAUAACCAAAUCGUAAAUCAAUUAUUAUAUUUAAAUCAUUAUUCUUUCAAAGUACUACCCACUUUCAAAUUUAUUAGCAAAACUUGUGAUAUGAACAGUAAUAUACUUGUUUCAUUGCUACUACGGCCUAUAGAAUAUUUCGAUUCGAAGAGAAAAACAACUUGAGUAAUCUAAUUUGAAAGGAUUCUUUAAAACAUUUAUUUUUCGAACUUUCAAUCGUAGAAAUUGAAUCUUCAAACUUAAAUAAGUGUUAAAAUUUGUAUCUCAAACUUGCAUUGUUGUAGAAAUGGUAGCACUUAAAUAAGUUUAAAGUUCAAUUUUUAUCAUUUAAAGGUCCAAUUUCUACAACUAUUUUAAGUUUGAAACUCCAACUUUAACAAUAAUAUAAAUUUGGGAGCUCAAUCCUUACCGUUUAAGAAUGUAAUUGCAUCUACUAUCGUACUUCAAUGGUAACUUUGACAAAUUGACAAAAUUGUAUAUAAAUAAAAGGUAAUUGCAAAAUUCACUAUUGUUGCAAUUAGCUUUUUUUCUCCUACUAUCAACAAAUGAAGGUUGAGGAACAAAAGACCAUGUCAAUUAUAGUUUACCUAAGCUUACUUUCACACACACUAAACUUACUUUCAACCUCUUAAACUUACACCAUGGUUUAAAAAUGAACUCUUCGGAUACAAAUCUGUGUGCGUAAGAUUCCAAAAGUUAAAUAUAAAUUAAAAAAGGAAGAAGAAGUAGGCCUAUCACUCCUCUCUCUUUCUGUCAAAAUCAAAGAGGUGGACGUGAUCCUUGAAUAUUUUGUGUGGUGAAGUUUGGGGUCAAAAACUUGAAGUGGAGAAUAGACCACGUCUAGCCAUAGACAAAACAUUUCAGCUUCAACCUUCCUCCUGACUGACCUGUAAAUUUACAAAACGGUGGCUGACAAAACCAUCUGAUUAGAGACAGAAAACAGGAAAAACCUUAUUCAUCAGCAUUAUUCAUGUUAAUCAGAAACACAUAUGCCUUACAAAGCAAAUGGAAUAACAAAAAAUCCACUUUCCAAGAGAUUGACUUUCAGUUUCAGCACUUUCUCAUUUGAAAUUGCUUGUUCAUGUAUAUUGUGACGAGGCAAUUGAAACCUUAACCUUCACCCCUUUCCCAGGCCUCUUCCAUUGAUUAUGACAUCAGUACUUUAGUUACUACAUGGGUUAUUCAAGAGAGAGCUUCUUGAGUUACACAAGUUUUACUGUUAAAUAUGUGUUUUUCUUUUAAGAUUCUCACUACCAACUCUAUGAUUGGUGAUGUCUGGCCAAAAAGUCUCUCUUUUCCUCUCUCUCUAAUGUUUCUGCUAGUAUGAUUGUUGAUGGGGGUAUGAAGAUGACAAACAACAUGUCACUUCAACUCCCAAAAAGUGGUCCUCUCUUAAUUGAUAGUUUCACCACUCACCUCUUUCCCUUGCCCUACACCACAUUCUACUCUUCUCUCUCCUUUUUAUCUUUUGCCCCAAACCAGACUCUUGCCCCCCCAGAAAAUUAGAACAAUUCAGUAAUGAUUUAAUUCAUUAUUCCCCAAACAUUUCCACUCUGGUUUUGAAUAACAUCACUGGGCAACUAUGUCAACUGGAUCAGCUGUUUGGACCAAAGAAGAAGAUAAAGCAUUUGAAAAUGCUAUAGCCACGCAUUGGGGUGAAGAAUUGGAAGGGAGUAAGGGGUCAGAAGAGAUGUGGGAAAAGAUUGCUUCCAUGGUUCCAAGCAAGAACAUGGAAGACUUGAAGCAGCACUAUCAAAUGCUGGUGGACGAUGUUGGUGCUAUUGAGGCAGGCCAAAUUCCUAUUCCUAACUAUGCUUCUUCUGUUGGAGAAGAAACUGCUUCCACUAAGGAGAAGGAUCAUCAUCUUCAUCCUCAUGGAUCUUCUGAUAGUAAUAAAAGACCAAAUUCUGGUUUUGGAAGUGGGUUUUCUGGGCUCUCCCACGACUCAUCUGCCCACGCCACAAAGGGUGGAUCCAGGUCUGAGCAAGAAAGAAGGAAAGGAAUCCCAUGGACAGAGGAAGAACACAGGUUCGUAUAUUUUCAACAACUUCAAAUACUGGGUCAUUUCAUAGCGAGCUAUAUAAUUAAUCAAUCAAUAUAGAUAUUAAGAAAAGAAAAGACUUGUUUUUGUGUUCUAUGUGAUAUGGACAUAGAUUCAUUAGGCAGUGCAGAAUGAGAGAGAUUCUUAAGUAUUGCUAUUUUCAGGUUAUUUCUACUGGGUCUCGAUAAGUUUGGGAAAGGGGAUUGGAGAAGCAUUUCAAGAAACUUCGUUAUAUCCAGAACACCGACACAAGUGGCCAGUCAUGCACAGAAGUACUUCAUACGAUUGAACUCAAUGAACAGAGAUAGAAGACGAUCAAGUAUUCAUGACAUAACGUCAGUUAAUAAUGGCGGUGGUGGCGAUGUCAUGUCCCAUCAAGCUCCGAUCACUGGCCACCAGACAAACGGCACGAACCAGAGUAAUCCGCCGGCUUUGGGACCGCCAGGGAAGCACCGGCCUCAGCAGCAUCUGCCCGGAAUAGGCAUGUACGGGGCACCUGUUGGGCAACCAGUGGCAGCUCCUCCGGGGCACAUGGCAUCAGCGGUUGGCACUCCAGUGAUGCUUCCUCAAGGAAUCCAUCCCCAUCCUCCAUAUGUUAUGCCAGUUGCUUAUCCAAUGGCACCUCCACCAAUGCACCAAUGACAAUUAUUUUUUUUCUUUUUUCUUUUCCCCUUCCCAGACAGAUUUUUGGAUUCGUGGAUCAAAAUAAGAAGUUGAGGCAUAACAAAGAAGAGCAAAGGGUAAAGUUUCACUUUUCAACUUUUCCAUUCACCUGUGAUUCUCCAAUCAUGUUGUGACGAGAAUAUACCAAUAUAGAGAGAUCCGAUAAGUCACCCUUUUUCAGCCUUUUAAGAACGACUUAUGAACAUGGAAUCCAAUUUUCAAUUUCACCAAUGUUUUUUGAUAGUAUAACUACCUGCAAUAAAAUACGAGCAUUAGCCGAGAGUGCCAAGGAUCCAUUGAUUGGAGAGGGGUUGUACUCAGUAAAUUUUCAAAUGGCUUGCCACAAGAAAAUACAGGGGAAUUGAAUAUUGACAAACUCAAGCUUCAAAAUUGUAAGGACAAAGCCCAGUUGUCAAAGAAAAUAUCUCAAAACUAAGUACACAAACAUAACCAAAUGUUUCUCAAAUAUAUUUGAUAUAACUCAGUCAAUUUACUAUUUAAGAUAUCGGUUUCCUGCACCUUCCAGACAUUCGAGAGACUGCAGCAUCAGAUAAUGUAUCCCACACCUACAAAAACAUAGAGGAAAUGGUAGGAGAAGGAAUCAAAAUUUUAGUGUACGUGGAAUCCUCCAAGACAUUUUUGCUUUUUUGAGGAAUUCAUCAAUAGAGUGCUUGGUGGGAGGCUUACAAACCCCUUUAGGAACCCACUAAACCGCUGAUAUCGUUUUCCCUUAAACGUGAGUUGGUAGGAAGGUUGAGUGACACACAGUUCACAACAGUGGCAGCUGAAUGAGGGAACAGGAGAGGAGGGUGGCGGCCAGUUUCCAACGGUAAAAACAGUGUGUAUUGAUUCUACUCGUUGUUUAAUAUACAUAAAACCAAUAGUUUAUCCAUUAGUGUCAUUGGUAAAUUAGUUUUCAGCCCCUCUAAACUCAAGUUCAAGAAUAAAUUUUAAACCAAUGAAUGUUCAAACUGUCCUUGUUUUGUGCAUGUCGCUUUUGAACAAAAAUAUCUUAUAAGGAAAAUCCGAAGUCAGUAUUUUCAUUUUAUGCUCUUUAAUAAUCCUAUAUAUCCUUUUUAUUGGCCAAUUUCAAAUUUUCGUAUUAAUUAUUCUCCUCUUGGGGUAAUUAUUUUAGAUGAUAUGCCUCUUAGGAUAGUUAUUUUAAAUGAAAAUUCAGAUCCUUCUCCUCUUUUCAUUGUAAGCGAGCAUUCGUCAUUUUACACAUUUAUUUGUCUUUUAAAUGAGGAAAAGGAAUUGGCUCAAAAGAAGAAAAAAAACGAAAAGAAUGAAGGUAUAAAUAAUAACAAUUAUAGUUGAAAAUGAGUUGUAAAUGAUGUCGUAUGAAUGUAUGAAUGUAUAAAUAAUAACAAUUAUAGUUGAAAAGGAGUUGUAAAUGAUGUCGUUUAUGUAUAUUAAUUCUUACUCCUAGCUAGCUUUGACAUGUCAUUUUACUUUCAAAGUUCAAGAGUUAUAAUGAAAUAAUUUUAGAUUAGUUUUCAAUAGUAUUUCCAGUCAUUUAACACAAUUUUCCUACCUCGAUUUUGUUUGGAACACUUAAAUCUUGUUUUUGAUUACUGAACCAAAAGAGGAAAUUUCAAACAUACACUACAUUAAUCUAGAAUUAUUUACUCUAUUCUUUUACAAAAUCUAAAUGCCUUUGCAACUCCAAACUUUUGGUCAACCACAUUUAAAGCAACUGCAACAUAUUACUGUGAAGUUGAAACUCUACACUGAUGCACCAAACCCACUUGAACAUAGAUCUGUUAGUGUAUAGAUCUCUGCUUCUCACACAAAAAUUAAAUAAUACGUAGAAGAACAAUCUUAAUCAUUGAUUAAGAUGAUGGGGAACAAAUAAGAACCAUAGGAACACCAUCUUUUCCUUGAGAAGAACUGAAGAAUUUUAUGAACCAUCAACGGUCAAAUCUGUUCCUUUAUACAUAGAUAAUCCUUUCCUGAAACAAGAUAAAGGCCAUCACAUUCAUGACCAUGGCUUGUUGGGUCAUCUACCUCGUUUUCUUUUUCCAGCUUUCAUAGAGAAAAAAUGAAAGAAUUCAAAGGCAUACCAAAAGAAAAAAACCAAGCCUACAAAAACUCAUCUAAAGAAAUGGUUUCCAGCUAAGUAAGAUGCUAACUAUAGAAUAAUUACAAAACAUCUCCAAAACUGAAACCCAAAAAGAAACAUGGAAGCUCACCGAGGACCAAAAGUUUACUUGAGUUUCUCUCCACCCCUCUAAACACUUGGUUGUUCCUCUUCUCCUACGUAUCCUACAAUAAAGUACACACCACAACAAACCAUAAAAAGCAGUCUCUCUUUGAGAGAUGGACGAAAAGGAAACUCUUCGAUUGUCUUGCGAACAUCCCUUUAGUGAGCUAACUCGAGAUUGAGCUCGAAAUAAAUAUUUCCACAUGGGUUUCACAAACUAACAACACUAGAAAAGGUGAUCCAGGUCUUCCUCGCAUACACAAAAAGGCCGAGGUAGCAAGCAUAGACUUCUUUCUCAAAAGCCUAUCCAUAGGUUCUAUAAGCUAAAGCCUGUGAUGAAAUCUAACCACUAAGAGAAAUUAUUCAAUAAUACGCAUGCUAUCUAAUAAGCACCAAAUAUAAAUAUAAAGCACUUCUCAGUUCUUCCUCUCCACAUUAAACGGUGAAAAAUUGUUAGCCAUACUGCGUUGAAUCCCCCACCGAAUAAAUUAUCCUAAUCAUAGUGCUCUCAUACAAGAAUUGGAGUUCACAUCUAUAUACAAAAUAAAAAAUCACAUAAGCACAAAGACAGUUAACUUAAAGGGCUUUCCAUUAACCAAAGGAAUAAAUCAUAAACUAAUCACAUAACAAAACACACAUGCUGUUAAUCAGUGAUAAAUUGUAGAAAAGAGAAACAAAAUUGCAACCCAAUUCUUUUCUUUUCAGCCUACACUAAUUUAUUCCCAAAUCCAGUUCUGUACUCCAGUGCCCUAAUUGAUAUGGAAUGAUUGGAGUGUUCUUAUGAGGUCAAUUUCUAAAGCCAAUGCAGAAAACCCUCGAACUUCAACUUUGGCUCUGUAUAAUCAGAACACCCAAAUAGGAAAAGUGUACGAUCCACUCACACUAUAGCGAGUCUUCAAGUUCUUUCAUUUGCUCUUUCUUUUUGAGUUCGUUCUCAUAUUGUUUUAACCUCUCUUUCAUCUUCUCCUGCAUCAGCCCCAAAAAGCAAAUCAAAACGAAAAAAGAAAAGAAAAGAAACCCACAAUCAUACCAUACAUAACCUACAAGUUGAUUAGAAAUCUGAAAUUGAAGAGAAGUGGGGUUACCUUAUAGCCAACUUCAACGCGGUGCAUUACAUAGAAGCCAAGAACGCCGCCGACAACGGUGCCGGUGAUGAUCCGAAUAUAAGCCCAUUUACGAGAACUGCCGACCAUCUUCCCAAAUUCAGAGCUCUAAUUCCUUUUCAAAUGGAACUGCUUCGCUGAAGAAACCUGGGGAUGGGUAUGGAUAUGGGUAAUGGGCAUGCUCCGCCAACCCGACUCCGCCUAGUUAAUGGUUUAUUUAUUUAUUUUGUUUUCUACGAGACACGUGUCAGAAAAUCCAAACUUCUCAACUCUAAAUGCUUAAUGGCAACAAAUUUAUUUAUACAUUUUCAAUCUUGCAAUAAACCAAAAUAUUAUAUUGAUCAAAAUAAAUUACUAUUUUUAGUUUUAUCAUUUAAAUUAAAUUUCAAAAUACAUAUCUAAUUUAAAUUUUAAAAAAUUAUAAAAAAUAACAAUUUUAAUCAAAUAUUUAUAAUAUAUAGCAAAAUUUUUAGAUUCUAUCAAUAACAGAAGUCUAUAAGUGACUAUCAUUAAUAGAAUUUAAAAUUUUGUUAUACCUUGUAAAUAUUUUAAUUUAUUAUGCUAUUUUUAAAAAUGCUCUCUUUAAAUAUUUUCAUUAUUUUAAAUAAUUCUUCUUAAAAGAAUAUAAAAAAAUCGAAUGGCCCUAGCUAAUUUUUUUUUUCCAAAUUGUGUUUGUUUUUUCACCAUUUUUCAAUACUGAUUUUAAAGAUCUUAAUUAUUGUUUAUCUCCGGUGUUCAUUCGCCACUUCAUGGGGUAAUUGAUUGCUUUGUUGUCGACAAUGCUAAAAGUUAUAGCUCCGAAAGGGUAAGUUGUAUAACUUAAUGUCUCAACCUUUUCCCAAAUCUUUGAAGACGAAAAUGGCAAGACUAAACAUGCAAGUUUUAGUUCGGAAGAAGAAGAAUCCAAUGUUUAAAAAUCAAUUUUUUUUAGUACAAAUUAGGCUUCAAAAUUUAAAUCAAGGACCUCUUAGUUCUCAACAUAUAUCAAUACCAAUUGAGUAAAGCUUUUGUUUGCAAAAUGUAUCAACAUUUAAACUUUAUAGUAGACAAUAAAUGUUUUAUCAUUGUCUAUCAAGUUUAUCAUUGAUAUACAAUGACAUUUUGAUGGUGGUAUUUUACUAUAUUUAAAAAUAGUUUCACUAACUUUUUUCAUUCAAGACCAUUAUCUUCUUGGAGAAUCCCAAAUUGUUUUCUCUUCAACUACCAACACACCAUUUCAUGAAGUAAAUGUCGGGAGAAAAGUGUAGCUUAGCAAUAAUUAACCUAUACUCAUUUGAAAAUAACAACACAACAUAACCUAAGUUUGAAUAUUAUGAUGUAUAUCUGAUUCACCUAUAGUUUACAAAGAAUACCUUUAUACGUAUUUCAAGUUCUCUAUCUAAAUACCAAUAAUAAUAAAAAAAAAAAAAAAAACUUAGAGUCCAAUUAUAGUUUCAUUCAAGCAGAGUUCAUAAUGUUUGAAGGUAGACCGCCAAUUAUUGUGCUUACUUAGAUAGCUAUUUUGCUGAAAGUCUGAAAUCAUUACUUGGAUGUAGCUAUUGGCCAUUGCUUUAUUCUGAUGUUCUUGUAAAGGCAAUUUCAGAAACCAAGGGUAAAUGAUCGCUGCCCACCUUCUGUAAAAGGAGGAUCACAUUUUGUUAGAUUGCUAUCAAGACUGGUGAAGAAAACGCAAUGAUUGACUUGUUCCAUCACCAUUUUGCUUUUAAAAUGUGGUUUUCGAAAUAGUUGGACUAAACUGCAAAAGAUACUUUUCAGCAUUGUAAAAACAUAAAACAUAAAGUGAAUCGGCACAAAACAGGACUAUAAACUUUCAACUACCUCGCAUGGAAGGCCGCCUGUUUUCAGAAGAAUAUCAAUUGGAACAGUAUCAACAACCCUUAUAGGAAUAAGGCCAUCAGAGUACCUAUAUUAAAGGCAAUAAAGACUAUCACAUGAACAGCAGCACCAACAUUACAAGUUAAAGCUACUACUAUAAUCUUUUCAACUACUAAUCACAGCAGCUUACCAAAUAUAAUCGACAGUUCCAAGAAACUUGGAGUGGUAGGAAGUAGCCAAUGGUUCAUCAGUGGAUCCCCGUGUUGUAGGAGGACCCUGAAUGGUGUAUAUAUGAUUUUCUUUUUUAAUUAAAAAGGAGGUCAUAAUUUCAAUAUUUGUUGCAAGAGAAAUGAAUAAAACUAUUAACUAAUAACAAAUAAAAAAUUGUAACUAAAAGGGGUAGUGGGAGAUACAUAGAAACUAACUCUGGAGGUUACAAAAACUUCAUACCUUUAUUGUAGCAUAGGAGCUGGUAAGCCUGAAGGGAUUCCUCACCACUUUGCAGUCAGCACUGCCAGUAGCAACUUUCACCUCUUCUUCAGUCCACAGACCUUUUGUUUGACUAAAAAAGAAGUCAAACCAUAGAAGUUAGCUAAAUAGACUUUAGUGAAACUAAGAAAUACUAUAGGCUCGUCAGCUGCAUACGAGAACAUAAUUAGAAAAGUGAGAACGAAGCCAUAUAAAUCCAACAUAUUAUCCUGAAUAUUAUUACCUUCCCAAAAAGAAAAAAGGUGCGCACACUUCUGUUUUUACACCCAAAACUUUAUCAGGAUGACAUCCCGAUUGUCCAGACAAUUCUCUUCGGUCAUAGGACAUGAAAUUUAGCUGUGAAUGACAUGGUCAAUCAAACUACUGGAUCAAACACUAGAUCAUAUUAUUUCUAGACAUAAUACAUUAAUUUUGAGUAAUCAUGGACUAAGAAGUGUACCUCUGAUGAUGAUAAGAAAUUGUAUAUUGCGCUCUGCCAACAAGCAGUAAAGGGUUAGACCUUCGUGUUACAGAUGAAAAUUUGGGAAACUUAAUGGUAUCUAAAUAUAGAUAAAAUUUUGAUAUGAAACCUCAGGAGUACUAUUGAAAUCACCAGCAAGAACAAAAGGAAGAUUUCUCCAUUUCUUAGAAAGAAUCUCUGCCCUUGACAACAGAUAACGUAACUGCAAUUUAGUUUUAAAACAAAGAAGAAUAAGAUAAAAUUUCAUUUUCUAUCCAUCAUCAAAGAACGUCUAAAAACUUGAUACGAUUCAAUAUUGACAUAACAAGCAAAACCGUCAAAGCAAGAGUCUUUUUCAUAACUUCUAUUAAAACGUGAGCUUCUCUGUUUUGUUGAGGUUUGUCCUUCAUAUUCCAAGUUCCUGUGAUAGUUUUCGUUCCUUUUUUCUUUGGAAAUAAAAGACUACAUACAAUUCGAAAUCACAAAAAGAAAGUGUGGAUACACUUGAACGAAUAUUGAAUGAAUAUUCACAUUUGAGUAAUGUAAAUAUAUUUGUUGCUUUGCUUGGGACUUACUUGACCUAAUUUGACGUCCCCCCUGCUUGGGUUGUAAAGCACAUGGAUGUUACCAAUUAGUAAUCUUCUUGAUUUAGCUUUGGACAUCUGCCUGCAUAUAGAAAUGUUAUGUUUGGAAGUUGGUCUCAAAUAAAUUAAAUCUCAGAAUUUCAGGUGAAUAUCAUAAGAAAAUAUGAAUACAGGCUACUUCAACCGUUGAGGAUCCCACAUUGGAAAUAUGGGAGGUAUUCAUGAGCUACUCUUUUCUUGCCAAUUGGUUUAAAGAUGGAAUCCAUAUAAACAAUUAGAACUAAACUUUUAUCAAACAAUAACAUUUAUUGGCAAACCGAUACUUGGAAUGAGGAUAACUUCAGAAUUAUCACCAAUGACAUCAUUACAACAGCUCAAGCAUAUGACUGGAUGAUAAUAAAUGUCUACCUCUAGCACAGAAAGUUGAGCAACAUUAUCACGAAGAUUGAACAUCUUGAAUUUGAUGCUCUCUUCAUCUAUCAGUCGAAACCUUGCCAAGUGAAAUAAUAGAUGUUAGAUCAUUUACUUAAGCAUAACAAGGUGUUAUACAUUAUCUAAAAAGCCAUAUCCUCACUUGUCAGCUUUCCAGAAUAUAGCACAUCCAUCAAUAGCGUCUCCAGUGCGUCUCUGCCAUUUCAAAUUAUUCUUUAGCAUCAUAUUCAAUAAGCUGCAAAAGUUUGGACCCACUAAUUGUAAAAGAAUAAAUAUCUAAACUGAACGCAACAAUCAAGAACUCCUGAGUGAAGGUUUUUUCUCUCCCUAUUUUGGCUGAUGAAAUCCAAUGUUUAAAUAAAUAUUUAAUGUACAAGUUGAAUUUGUAAGUCACAAGUUCACACAUUACUUUCUCAUUCUAGUGGAUGGAACACAUCAAAUUUAGAAAAUGAACACUCACCGUGUAUGACCCAACGUAACCGGCUUUCUCCAUGAUUUCUGAAACAUCAAAAUACUUGUCCACUUCCUACAAGGAAUUGACAAACAACUACACUUUUCACCUUUCAUUACAAUAAUCAGUAAGAGCGAGCGAGAGAAGAUCAAGCUCACCUGCAAGCAGAUUAUAUCAGGGUUCCACAUAAGAAGUUCCUCACAUAUAACUCUCUUACGAUGGUUCCAUUUCAGGUACGGUGAAGGAACAUUGGGAUAUAAACCUCUGUGUUUCCAUGUAUUCCUUUCAGCCAAUAUGUUGUAUGACACCACACUAAACUUUUCUGGAACAUCAAAUUUCAUUGAACAUUUGCAGGCAACAUUUGAAAUAUAAUCUCUUUUCAUAUAAAUAGCAUUCCAUAACACAUUUGAUCAGGUGGCAAUUCCAUGAAAAACUAUAGCCUAUUUGUGGUUCUACCGUAUUGAAUUUACAGAAUCUAUAUAAUAUAAUUAACAAAGGAUGACCCCUAUCCUGCUUUCAUGUUGCUGCAUUUCAACCCAAUCCAAUCCCUCUAAACUUAUUCUCCUUUAUCCUUCUAGAUCUUUUCAUUUCUACUUCUUCACUAACUUUUCUUCUGAUAUUACUUUAAUCACACAUUAACAAUGUUCAGACGUAGACGAUAAAGAAUAAAAAAAAACAAAAAAAAAAAACGUAAAAGGUAGAAAAUUGACAUAGACGUUAAAGUGGUUUGUGAGUUAGUUACGUCCAGGGACAGAGGAAAAGAACAGUUUAUCGUUAGAGAAAAACAUAUCUACGUUUGUAUUUUCAAUGAUUUUUGUGUUAAUAGCAGCGAUUAGCAUAGCGAUAAUGCUGGUCGGUACUUCACUAACAUUAACUUGCGAUGGAAAUACGAAACAGAAUCCCGUUUAGAGAAUUUGGAGAGUUGAAAUGGUGUACCUUCAGAAGCGGAAGGUUGAUCAGUCUCAAUCCAGUGGCGCAGAAUUUGAACACCUUCUUGGUUCAAUUGUCUUCGGCCGGAGGGGUUGUACCAUCGACGGGUGUAGUAAGAGCUAGUGGUUGAUUUUGGUAAUGACGAUGUGGAAGAAGCAUCGGCAGCAUCGUUAGAGCAGCAAAAGAAGAAUUUGGAGAAAUGAGAGUGGUGGCGUAAAAACGGACCGCAGCUGAGGAAGGUAGUGGCCAUGGUUGCGCGCCACAAUCUCAACGACCCAAUAUUUGGAUAGAUAACUUUUUCUUAUACUUCUUUGUAGCACUUAUUUUUGCAAUUACUUUGUGAAAAUGACAAUAAUGUUCCAAAUACUUCCUUUUUAUUUCCAUAUAUAAUAUAUAUGCACACACAUUAUUAAUUGACAAAUUUUGUUUUUUUUUUUUAAUAAAAAAUAUUUUAAUAGUAAGUGACGAGAAGAGAUGUACAAAUAAGUACAUCUUUAAGUAUUAUUGAAAUGACAAUAUUUAAAUAAACACAAAAUACACUCAUCUUUAUACGUCUUAUUUAAUCGAAAAAAAUACAAUAUUAUGUGAGCCUCAAUAUAUUUGGAGUAAAUCUCCAAAUUCAAUUAACUUUUUUACUAAAGUAUUUUUAAUAAUUCUAUAAACUAGUACAUAAUGGCUUAAACUUAAUAUACUGUUUACUUUAUCUUAGAAAUGGUCUUAAAGACAAUUAUAAAAAUGAACGAUCGAAGAAAAUUAUAAAUAACGAUUUUUUCGAGUGCUAACAUUUUUUCUUUCAAUUACGCGUUUGAUACCGUACGAAGAGUAAAAAAAUGUAUUUAAUCUCAGACUAAUCAUUACUCGUGAUCAAGACCAUAAGCUUAAGGUAUUUAAGCUAUAAAAUAAAGUAUUAUUCUGUACAAAAGGCCAUACGAUGUGCUAAAAAAUGACCUUUAACCAACAUUGGACGACUUAGAAAAUCAACACAAAUCGAUUAAAUAGCUCUCACUCUAUUGAAGAUGUACUCAUGAAGGAAAUAAAAUAACCCCUUAGUCAUUCGAUAUCGAUAUUACUCGAGUUUACGUUUCUCAGAGCAAACAUUUUCAGUUGAGAGAAAUAUUAGAAAUGGAAGGGAACUUCUCAACCCACCAAGCAACAUAAUAUCAAAUAAUUUUUACCAUUAACAUUCUCAUUCACAUCAUUCUCCCUAGGAAAGGCAAUGUUGUUGCACUACCAUGUAGUACUAGUGGCUGCCUUAAAGGCCAUAAAUUAAAAUGUACAAAUAAAACAGGGGGCAACACAUUUGCAUAUAAUGAAAAAGAUGGAAGUUAAUUUAAACCUCUCUCUACUAGUAUAUCAGGGAAUUGAUGGUAUUCUAGCCUUGCAGAUGCUAAAAGCAGCUAAACAGAAUUACGGGAGUUGCCUACGGAAACUAAAAGUUAACAACCUGCUGUCCUGAGGACGAAGCUUACAUCUAGAUCGAGCGUCCAAAAACCUGGAAGCAUGAAGAAACCUAUGGUUAUUUGAUAAGAUGGAACCCAAGUUUGAAAUUUUGAAGUAAACAAGAAGAAAUAAAUUAUCAUUCUUCCAUGGAACAGGAAAUAAACCUUCAUAGUUUAUCAUUUCAAAGAAAGAUGUCUACUGUCUAUUGUCUACGGGCAUUUUCUUUGAAUGUAGGAAGCCCCAUGUUCUUCGAACCUGUUAGAUGCAAACAAAAUGAAGUGACUGUUAUGGUAACAAGGACAAAUUUAAUAUGAUUCUUAACUACUUCAAAGUGAAACCUCCACAUUUGCUGAGGCAAGUAUUUGAGCCUUACUCGGAUUUGGAGAACCACAUUUGCUGAAAUGAACCAAGAGAGGCCAAUAUACUCCCUCCAAUCCAGACACUGCAUUAAAUUUUUUCACCAGAACUUAGACAAAUAACAUAGGAGGAAAGUAAAAUGUGCAUAAACAUUAGGGGAAACAGUAUCAUGGGGCCAACCGCACAUGAAGAAAAGCAUAGAGUAGUUUCAAAUUAAUUUCAAAUGUAUCCAACAGAGGACAUAGAAAACAUCAAACAUAGAAUUAGAUUAUUUUCCUAUGUAGCUGCCCCAAUGGACAGGUAAACAUUAAACGUUGUAAAUAGAAUAUGUGAAGAAUGUUCCAUGUGAUAUAACCAUAAGAAAUAAGAUGAGCGUGCUCAUACCUGAAUCUUCUUUCUGUUGCAUUACCGCUUGCCAAUACUUUAACCCUAGCAGCUUGAGGAGACUCCUACAAGUUCAGGACAAACUUAGUGAUUUUGUCUUAGAUCUAUCCUCUUCUCCCUUUCAUUCAAGUGCACGGAGAUUUCUAAUCAUUAGUAGAUAUACCUCUAACAAAUCUUUCUCAAGACGUUCUUUAAGCUGUUGCAUUGAAGCUGUUCCACCAGCAAGCUGGAAGAGGUAGAAAAAGAGAUCAAGUUCACGAGUGUUUCCAAUAAACACACUGAUUAUGACGACAAAUAUGCCAAAAAGAAAGCAAACAUAAGUUGAAACAUUAAAGGAAGGCUGCUGCCUUGUUUGCCACAUUGGCAUGUUUCAUGAGCCAUACGCUGGACUUGAGAAUUGAGAUGAUCACAUUUUAUACUUUUUCCUAGCAUCUAAAUUGGAAAACAAACAGAGAGAAACUAAAAAAUGUGCAGCAUUUUCACCAACCAUAUAUCACAAGAAAUUAAUAUUUUUUAAAAAAAAAUGUAAAAUAAGAGAGAAAUAAUACUUAGAGCACUGAACUAUACCAGUAUACUGCUAAAUAGUUCUCUCCGAAUAUCCACAUCACAUUUAUUUAUACUCUCGAUUACCUGCGCACAAAUAAAAAGUAUAGUUAAUGUUGUCUUUUCAACUAAAAAUACAUGAUUUUAUUUAAUUAUAAAAACGCAGAACAAAAUUAUGAACAGAACCAAAAAGUUGAAAGGAUUAAGUGGAAAUAAUUAUCAAAUUGGGUGAGAUUAUGGAAGAACACACAGGUGUGCCUAAAAUCAAGAAAACUGAAAAACUAAACCAAUGAAACUGGUUUGAUCCAACUUUUGUACCAUAUUUGGUUCUUCAAUCUCCAAAAGUAAAGACUGAGAGAAUUAAGAAUUGAAGAUCCAGUAUGGUUUACGGCUUAUAAUGAACCAUACCAAUAACAUUGAUUUAUUUAAUUUUUUUACAAAUGGCCUCAAUAGUGCAAGUACUUUGUUGAGAAUGUUGGAAAUUCUAUUGUGGUUAAGAUUUAGGUUGAUUUUAGAAAGAAACAAAAUCCAAAACACCUUGUUGAAAAAGAAAAGAAAAUAACCAUUUAUUUGUUCAAAAUCCCUUAUAACUUGGAUGCUUAUUAGAGAUUUAAGCUCAAAAUAGGCAAUAAAAACUAAACCAAUAAACCCAGAAUUGGGAGAACCAAACCGAUCAAUAUAAUUAAACUGGUUUUCAAUAAUACCUAGUCCAUAAUUCCGUAUAUAUUAAAAUUAAACCAACCUAUGCAAAUCUACCUCUAAGACUCAACUCAAUUUGUUCUUGUGGUAGGACAUAAUCGAUGUUUUAGAAACUGAAACGGAGCAAAAUAUAAAGGUGGUUAUCAAAAAAUGAGAUUAUGGUAAUAAAAGCACAGACAUACCAUAUGCGGCAAUCCCUGAACCGAGCGAGCUGUUUCAGUGAAACUCUCCAUCCCAGGUAUAGUCUAGUAAUAAUAACAUAAAAGUGUGAGAGAGCAAGAGAAGUAACAAUAUCACAUAGCUACUCAUGACAAGAACCGAGAUGAUUGAUGACUCAACAAAGGCCUUGGUCCAAAUAACAUAAAUAGCAUAGUUUAUGAGCUAUAUGUCUAUUCUACAUGCAUAGGCAAUUACGAGACGAGACUUGUCAAAUUAAAUAGUGAAAUAAUAAAGAAAAAGAUGAAAAAAAAAAGGGAAGAUAAAAAGAAAAUCGUUUUCUCUUCAUCCAAAUAUGAUAAAAACUAAUACAGCCAUAUAAGUGAAAGACAGAAGCAGCACAUAGCGUCUAAUAGAAUCAUCAUUAAUUAGCUUAGCCAUUAUGCACACCACUCAAUCAAAAUUUCUCAAUUCAAGAUAUGGAAAUUAAGUCACUCACCUGCACUAAGGACGGGUUAAAUAGAACAUCAGGAAUCUUGAAUCUGUCGGCUCCAAUCUCAAUAGUCCUGUUCCAAGCAUGAAGGAGAACAAAAGUAAAAAAGAUGAUUUAAAGAAGAAAAAGAGAAGGGGAAAAAAAGUACUGAGACUAGGAGAAGUUGCAUAGCUAAUAACCAAAAGUUCGCAAUACAGGAAAAAGGGAAAACAUAAGUUAAGACAAAAGUAUCAAUCCAUGCUUGAAAAUGUAAUCAUCCAAAACUCUCUUAAACGACUUACUGGCCAUCAGGAAGUUCAUAUGGCGUCAUUGGGAUAUUUGAAUAUGCACUUUCUGCAUAGAUAGAAAUAUAAUACCACACUAAUUAGCAUGCAACAUGCAGGAUCCUGUGAAAUAAAUACGAUGCAAGAAUGGUAGGGUCAAAGGGGAAAUUCAAUAUAACAUAUCUUCUCAUGCUCACAAGCAUAAAUUAGAAUACUCCUUUAAAGGGAAAGAAAACUAACAAUAUAUGAAAGCCUAUGUAUGAGAUGCAAAACAAUAAAAAGACAUGCCAUGCUCAUUCUUCACGUCAAAGAUAAAUUAAUGAACCAACUCAAUAAAUUCUAGCAACUAAAGAAAUUAAGGAAGGGCAAACCAUCAUAAGGAGUAUCUGGUGCUCGGCAUACACAUUCUUUUAUAUCACUGGCAAUGACCCUCUGUCAAUAUAGAGUAUUUUACUCAAAAAUUGAGCUAGCAAGAAUGAUAACUGGGAUUAUUUAUGAUCAAAAAAAUACCUGUGAGUACAGUUUGUAACUUUCAGUUGUGUUUGGGAAAUCAAGUUCCACUAUCUACAAAAGAGAUAAAUGAAAUGUCAAAGAACUAAUGACCAACAACAAUUAACAGUUAAUGAUAACUUGAAGGAGUAUACUCCUUUGAAUUUGUGAUAUACUACAACUACAAGUACCACAAUUCAAAGAUUUUUCUAUUAUUUUAUAUAAUUAAUAGUUUAAAGGUAAUGCCUGAAAUUCUCCUGGUCGAAUUUCCUUUCUCUUGAAGGAGUAUCUUGGCAUUAUCUGCAAGCAUAAUGAAAGGUAUGUUUCAGCAGUUGCACACUUGCACAAUAAAAUAAGAACAUAAUUUUUCGUGAGAGAGAACUUGAUAAUUUCAUUGAUGAAUUUACAUUGAAAAUGAAUUACAAAAAGGAUCACCAUGUACAACAAAAUAAAGAUAAAGAAUAAGAGUUACUGCCAAUAGUACCUUGAUACCUUUGCUCUCCAAACUUUUUAACAAACAAUCAGUAAGAAAAUCUCCACCAACAGGAGAAGAUACAACAGCCUGAACAUUAAUUCUUUGAUUAUUCCAUAUUUACAUAAAUAGAGCAUAAGGCAGAUAAAUAGAUAAAUAAAAUUUAGCCAAGAUUACGCAAGUCUUUAUAUCCACUUCAAAAUACCUUUUGAAAAACAUAGCCAUCAUGUACCGGAGCGACAGUUGUUGAUCCACCACCACUGCAUGUAUCAAUCAUUUAAAACCCAAUUGCUUACAGCCAGAAAACAUUCCCGCACUAAAGUUAUCGUAUAGAAUAACUCAAUCUCAAUGAAAUGGAUGUUUGGAUGUAAAAUUACAAUUCAACUUAACUUCUACCAAGAAUUUAUAAAUAUGCCAUUAGUCUCCAAACCUUGAAAAACUGAAUGAAUAAAAAAAACCCGAAGUGUCUUUUAACUUUUUUUGUCCUAUCUGUGAGUGUCUGAGUCAACUUCCGAGUACCUCGACUAAUCUAACGGGACAACCCGCCUAACCCUACAACAUUUGGGUGUCAAAGAAACUCGUAGGAAAAUAAUUCCUAGGUAGGUGGCCACUAGGGAUUGAACCUACGACCUCUUAGUUAGUUAUCAAGACUUUGCCUCCAUUUUUACCAUUGGGCCAACUCAUGACAGUUGUAUCUUUUUAACUAUCUGUUUUAAAAACUAUGAAAAUUUCCAGAAUCCAUUUGAUUUUGACAUAUGACUUAACCAUACAAUGAACUAAUUCUUUUCCAGAUUUGAGGGGCGAACUAUCAAAAUAAUCGGCAUAUAACUGAGUCAAGAAAAGACAAGAACUACUAAGAAUAAAAUAAUUAGAAACUGAUUAGACACGAUAUGCAAAAACACUAUCUAUUCGGUAAUAUUAAGAUAUAACAAUAGAUUCUGAUGAAAUCAGAUCAAUGAAUUCAUUAUUGAGCAAGAAAAUGAUAUUAUUAAAGCCUUGGCCCACCAAGUUUCAAAGAGACAAUAUGCAAUGGUCAUACAAUAAGUAUAUGUAGUAUAGGAUCAGCUGAUACCUGUCAACAACGAGUGAUGUAGCACGACCUGAUGCAAAUGACGUGAGAACCUAGAAUCCAAGUUUCAAUGAAUGAGUUUUAAAAAACAAAGCAUGAUCAAUCAAUGAGGACACCAAAAAAGAAAUAAAAAACAAUUAAUUUGAGGGGAAGCAUCUGAAAACGGAGUAAAUAGGAAAAACAUACAGCAUUUUUUGCCAAAAACAAUGCAGGAACUUUGUACUUCUCAAACAUAAUCUCAGCCGUCCUGUCAGAAAAAGUCUUAUUAAAUAAUUGAACUCAGUGUAAAUCCCAUAUGGAACAGAAAAAGGAGUUUAUCUGAGACUGAUUACUUUUCUCUCUGUUGUUGUGAAUUAGAAGAUGGUUCUGCAAGUAGCAUUGGAUGUUCUUGGGGAUCAAUAAGUAGACAUUCCCUGAAAGGAUACAAAAAAAUCAUAAAAGUUAUUAUGAAGUUAAGUAAAUUCUACAAGAUGUAGAAUAAAUAAGAAAAACACUUGAAGUAAGUAGUUUCUAACUGCUUGCACUAGAUCUAGAAAAUGUCCCAAAUUUUCUCCACGGAUUUGUAACAAAGAAUAAUACAUAGGAUUAGUCACAAGAAAAGGGUCUCAAUGAGCAAUUUUCUCUGUUUGCUUCUCUCUUUCACCAUCUAGGACCUCCUUAUUCUGAGUCUACUUUUAUCAUCUCUAACAUAGUUUCUUUUAAAAGCAGUGAAGAAUGAGUGAGUGUCCCUUCCAAUGAUCUGUGUAAGAUUGAGUGCACUAACUUUUCUGUUGGUUUCAGAAUUUUUUUUUUAGGAAAUCAGAUACUUAAAAUCACGUAUCUGGACGUAUUAGUCUCAUAUGUGUAUCUAAUAUCAAUUCUAUACACAAUUUGAAGUAUCUAUAUUUCAUAGGUGGCCACAAAAAGAAAUUAUGCCAGAACUCUCAAGACGAUGUGACUGACAUCCGUAAACAUAAAAUAUGACGAAAACUCUUCGAACCAUGAAGAAAAAAAAAAUGAAAUGGACAAAGAGGAGCAUGACAAGAAUUCCAAAAGAAAUCAUAUGUCAAUGAGACAUGAUGUAAUAACAUUGAUGCUACCCGCUAACAAAUUAUUGGUAUCUUUUAUAUGUUAAAAAUGAAAAGAAGAUAAAACACAAUAGAGUAUGCCCGAGUUAAUCCAAGUUAUUGGCUUGAUUAAAUAAGCACAUCGACAAACCUGAAUAUAGGAAGGAAAAAGAAACAAAAAAGAAAAAACACAUGACCUAGAUAACAGAACUUCCAUUACAUUAUGCAUUAGCAAGACUAAUGAAGUGAAUACUCCAUAGCAUUUAAAGGCUGCAAAAUAAAGGGAUUACAAGAUUCUAUUAAUUACCUGAAAGCAUGAUCCCAUAUGCUAUCGACCAUAUCCCAGUCAACAACAACUCCAUCCUUAAUAGGCGAGAGUACCUAAUGAAUCACACGAUUGAUAUAACAUUUUCUUAGUAUAUAGAAUACAGCCACAAAAUUCCAAAUAACUACCAAUGACAGGAAACAACUUACCUCCAUAUUAUCACGGCGGAACCCUAAAGCUUGAGAACCAACAUAUAGUUUGCGUUUUCCCUUGCCUUUAUCGGAGUCGAGAGUUUUAGCAUUACUCUUAGAUUCUCCAGCAGAUCCAGAGUUCUUUUCGGUACUUGUAGUGUCAUCAACAUCCAUUUCAUCGGUACAUCCAACAACCUUAUCAAACAAAGGUAAAGGGUUGAGAUAGAUACAGCUAUAUGCCUUACAUCAUUACAGAAGCAAUAACAGACCUAUCAGCUACCACAGGCAUCAUAUAAACCAAUCAUAUAUUGAAAUGUACGUAGAAAUAUAGCUGUUGUACACACCAUCUCUCACAUGGUCCUUAUAUGGGCAAGAACCAUUUGUCAUAUAUCAUUUUCUUUCCCAUGGAAUCUUUCUACAACACUACCUCUCAAGUUCAGUUCAGUUUAUGUCAAUUAAAAGUAGAAAGAAGAACAAAAAUCACGAACUCUACUACCACAACCAAGAACAGAAAUCACAAUUAUACCAGACAUCAAUCUCAGAUCCUCCUAAUAAUAACUUAUCAUUGUCACGCCAAGAAUUGGAUUGCAUUGCUAUCAGGUCUUAUCCCAAAAAAAGAAAUAUCCCAACCCAAAACUCUAAGAAAAAAUGAAAAUUUCAACUCAUUAGAAACCAAAUUUCGCAUUGCUUAAUCAAAACUCUCAGUUACCAAAAUUGGUGAUGUAGGACUGGUUUCUAGAACUUUCAACAUUUAAUUACACCUACAAGACUUCAGGAAUGACCACAAAAUUGAUAUUGGAACUCGAAAGUGGCAAGCACUUCACACUUUCACUCUGACACAUAAACUGGGCGCGGCAAAUCAAUGCAGCCAACAAAUCCUAAAAAAAAACAUCCAAAGCUCAAAAACCUGAUCGUUCUGUGCAGCUCAACAACUAAAUCUCGCCCUAAUACGACAAUGAACACUCAAAUAGUUGACAAAAUCGAGACCACCAGAAUGUAGCCCGCCAUAAGCAUCAAUAUUAUACACAGAACAUGUCAAAUGCAGGGAAUGCUUACAGAAGGGAAAACAGCCUUAGGAGCAUCUUCUCCAGCAUAACCAGCUUUGCAAGUGUGAGAACCCAGAUCAAUAACUAUAGCAGAUACCUCGUCUGUAGAAGAACGAACAAUUUAUGGGAAUUAAAGCAGAAAUAAUUCAUGGAUAAACGCGGGACCAUGCGUAUAUUUGAAGAGGAUAGGAAAUUCGGAAUACUCACCACCACCAUACAUGGCUGAAGAAUUCAGUGGAGGAAUAAGAGUGAAGUUAGGGUUUUUGAGCCUUUACCUAAAACCCAAUUCUAGGAAGGGUUAGGGAACACAGGACAGAGUUCCGACUCCGAGCUGGAUAGAAGUAGAAUUAAACCUCAACCCCGGAAGCUUAUUGACUUGCCAAGUGAUCGGCCGGCAACCGGUGAAGUACAGUGGUCGGAAUCUCCCUUCUCAGUACCGGAAGAUGAAGGCCCAAUUUUUCGCCCAACAAAAUACGAUGACGGCCCAAUACAAUAUUUCUUUUUCUCCCGUUUCGGCGGUCUCUAAAGUUUGAACUUAAAUUAUUUAAUUUUCUAGAUAUUUAAAACUUUAUAAAAUGUUUAUAAAUGAAAAAUUGUAAAAAAUAGCAAUAAAAUAUUUUCAUAUCCUAUCCAGUUUAAUAAAUUUUAAUUGAUUUAACAUAUACUUGUGUUUAAAUAUAAACAUGUAGGUCUCUUGAUUUAAUAUAUAGUGUUUUGCUGCUUUAAUGUAUUAUUCUUAUUUUAAAUUUAUAGUUUGUUAAAUAUAUAUAAGAUAAGAAUAUGUUAAUUUUUAACCCUAAAUUCCAUAAAAUAAGAAUAUGUUAAUUUUUAAUGCUCUUCUUCUCUGAAGUUUUAAGAAACCGCCCCUACAAAAUUAUUUCAAUUAAUCUUUUGUCUUAUCAAAUUAAACAAAUUUCAACUAGAUAAUUAAUUUUACUUUUUUAGAACUUAAAUAAAAGCUUUUGAAACUUUAUAAUCAACACAAAAUAAAAUUGCCCAAAAAAUUAUCUAAACAUUCAUAUUAUUACUAACAUUUGAGGCUAUAUUUCAUAAUAGUAAUUUAUAAAUUAAUAGCAAAUAUAUCUUUGAGGUGUAGAUUAUUUUAAUUUUAAUUAUAAUAAUAUUUAUUUAAGAGGUAAAUUAUUUUAGUUUGAAAAGAAAAUAGUAAAUACCGUAGCAAACUAUACUUUUGAAACAACGUUGUAAUUUUAAUAAAUAUUGUUGUAAAAAAGUCACUCCCAAUCAAGGCCAUAUGUCCUUACUUUGGAAUUUCUAACCUUUCACACAUACUUUUGUUUCAUUGUCUAUCAAAACAAAUUUAUCGUUUGUCAUCUAACAAGCUUCAACAAUUGUUACGAUGAGAUAUACACCGUAAAGAUUUAGUAUAAUGUACUUUUGUUUCAUUAACUAUGAAACCAUUUUAACUCAAUUUUCAAAUAGUAUGAUACCGAAAAAUAUAUAGUACAAUUUUAGGUGUCUAGGUUUUGAAUCUAAUUUCCAAAAGGUCUCUAGAAAGUUUUGAACACGUACAGUUAUUAGUAUUUAAAUUUUGAGUUUCAAUAUUACUGUUAAAGUGUGACUUUCGUUUUAAAUUAGUUAUUAGGUUUUGAAGUUUAAAAUAUGGUUGUUAUAUUAAAAAAAAACCUCAGAAUGUUACUAUAGAGUCAAAUAAUUAAUUAUAUGAGAUAAAUAUAUUCAAAUUAUUGAUAAAAGCAUAUAGUACUCUACAAUGUAUUUAUUUAAGAAAAGCUUUGUUAAGAUUGUGGUGUGGGUGUAUGAAUCCAACUGUAAUGGAUAUAUUUAUUAAUUGCCUAGAGGUUGUCGUCAAUUUCAUACACAAACGAGAUUACCAAUAAUACAUUAAAAUUUUGUUAAUACAACUUUAAUGCUCACUAAUUGCCAUAUUAAUUAUAUAUCUUAUAAAACUAUUAAUUAAUUAAAAAGUUUGAAAUUUGUAGGUUGAUUUUUUAAAAUAUUAUAUUGCUUAAUAUUUGAAGCUAUAUUUCAGCCUAAUGUUUUGAUAAAAUAUUUUCAUUUCAAAAUUUUGAUAUGAGAUUUGAAUAUGAAUAUAACCAAAAGAAAAUUUGAGAUAAACCAAUCCGGUCUUGAAUUUGAAAUAUUUUAUUUUAAAAAGAUAGUUGAGUUAAACAUUAGAAUAUGUCCAAUUUCAAUUAUAGAGUAAUUGUUAGAUGUAUAGGUAUACAAAAAUUUUACAAUUAUACCAUCAAACCUUAAUGUUUAAUUUUAGACAUUGGUUACUUGUUUUUGUAUUUUUGCAUAAAGGUUUUGUGCAAGCAUCUAAUUGCAACGUACUAAAAGUUUUUUUUUUUUUUUUUUUCAAAUUGAUCAUAGUUUUAUUUAUUUAUUUAUUAUUUGGAUACUAUGGGUAGUAGAAGAAUUAAUAAAUAAGAUGAGAAUAAAGUUAGCAAAUUACAAAACCAAAGGUACAUAAAGUCAAUACUCUGAAAACCACUAUGUUUCUUACAAACCAAUCUCUAUAAAAACCCCAAAAUCCCAUCACUUCCUUCUUCAUAAAUUCCUUUUAUAUCUUCAUUGCAACAUCAUGAACACUUCACUUUCCUAUGCUUUUCUCUUCCUAACAUUCUUCGCUUCCCUUCACUUCCCAUCAAUUCUCUCUCGCAAACUAACAACACAAUCUCCUUAUUCCACUAAUACCUUUGAUGUCUCGGCCUCCAUUAACCAAGCCUUAAAUGCCCUUUCCAUCAAACCCAAAUCCUUUCAAACUUACUCUAGUUACCAUUCAAGUUCACCUUUGUCUCUCUCAUUGCACCCUAGAUUGACUGUUCAUAACUCUUCUUACAAGAACUAUGGUAGUCUUGUUAGGGCCUGACUUGCUCGUAAUGCCGUCCGAGUUCGAUCCCUUAAUAGAAAGCUUGAGCUCUCUUUAAAUGAGGGCAAACAAUUUGGUAAAAAAGUUAAUGGAUCUCAGUGUACAAAUUCACUUACUGCGCCGAUUUUUUCAGGGGAGAAUCAGGGGAAUGGUGAAUAUUUUGUUGGGAUGCGCGUCGGCCAGCCUCAACAACCGUCUUUUUUUGUGCUUGAUACUGGCAGUGAUGUUACGUGGCUUCAAUGCCUGCCCUGUGCUGGUAAGAAUGGUUGUUAUGAACAAAUAACCCCGAUAUUUGACCCAGAAUUGUCGUCUUCUUACAAUCCAGUGUCUUGUGAUUCGGAACAGUGUCAAUUGUUGGAUGAAGCUGGUUGCAAUGUCAAUUCUUGUAUCUACAAAGUUGAAUAUGGGGAUGGAUCAUUCACAAUCGGUGAACUCGCCACCGAAACGUUAACAUUUGUACAUUCUAAUUCCAUUCCUAAUAUCUCGAUUGGUUGUGGCCAUGACAACGAAGGCCUCUUCGUUGGGGCCGAUGGUUUAAUUGGCCUCGGUGGUGGGGCCAUUUCCAUUUCUUCUCAAUUAAAAGCAUCAUCAUUUUCAUAUUGUCUAGUCGACAUAGACUCACCAUCAUUCUCCACUCUUGACUUCAACACAGACCCACCAAGCGACUCACUCAUCUCCCCACUUGUUAAAAAUGAUCGAUUUCCCUCAUUUCGAUAUGUGAAAGUAAUUGGAAUGAGUGUCGGCGGAAAGCCUUUACCGAUUUCCUCGUCAAGAUUUGAAAUCGACGAAUCAGGAUUGGGGGGAAUAAUUGUGGAUUCUGGAACGACUAUAACACAACUACCAAGUGAUGUGUAUGAAGUGUUAAGAGAAGCGUUCCUGGGGCUAACAACGAAUCUCCCACCGGCACCAGAGAUAUCACCGUUUGAUACUUGUUAUGACUUAUCAAGUCAGUCGAAUGUGGAGGUGCCAACCAUAGCAUUUAUUUUGCCAGGGGAAAACUCGCUACAACUACCAGCAAAAAAUUGUUUGAUCCAAGUGGACUCAGCUGGAACUUUCUGCUUGGCGUUUGUUUCAGCAACAUUCCCGCUUUCUAUCAUUGGAAAUUUCCAACAACAAGGAAUACGUGUCAGCUAUGACUUGACCAACUCCCUCGUCGGCUUCUCGACUAAUAAAUGUUAAAAUUCAGCUGACACGUUGGUGGGAUUAGAGUGGUUUAAUUUGGGUUUGUUACAUUAUUUUAAGCCAAUAAAAUACUAUUGCUUCUCAUACAUUGUAUAAAAAAAGUUCAUUCAACAGUGGGUCGAAUUAAUCAAAUCAUGUCAAUGUAUUUUCUUCAUGUUACUGAUAUUGUUUGUCGACUAAUAUGUCAACCAAUUAUGAGAACAACGGUACAAAUGUUUUCUAAUCAUGAAAUUUAAAAUAGGGAGGUGAUGAACCAAAAGUCUCGAUCGAUCAGUGGAGGAAUGUGAGUGAGGUUAGGGUUUUUUAGCCUUUACCUAAAACCCAAUUCUAGGAAGGGUUAGGGAACACAGAACAAAGUUCCGACUCCAAGCUAGAUAAAAGUAGAACUAAACCUCAACCAUGAAAGCUUAUUGACUUGCCAAGUGAUCAGCCGGCAACCGGUGAAGUACGAUGGUCGGAAUCUCCCUUCUCAGUACUGAACGAUGAAGAUCCAAUUUUUGCCCAAGAAAAUACAAUGACGGCCCAAUACAAUAUUUCUUUUUCUCCCGUUUCAACGGUCUCUAAAGCUUGAACUUAAGUUUUUUUUUUUAGAUAUUUAAAACUUUAUAAAAUGUUUAGUAAAUCCUUAUUUAAGAUAUAAAUUACAAUAGAUUCAUACCUUCUAAAUUUUAUGUUUAAACAUAGACUAUCUAUAUAUCAUAUUUUAAAAUUCUCAAAUUUCAAUUAUAGUUAAGAGAGAACAUCUUCCUAACACAUUGCUAUCUAACUUGCAUGCGACCAACCACAAAGUUUUGAUGAUGCUCUAAACAAAAUGAGUGUAUAAAAAAAAGAAACAUUGAUUCAAGUAGGCCUAUGAGAAAGAUGGUAAGUUAGUUAGCCAAUUGUGAUUGGACGAGUUUGUUUAACUAUUAUUGGACACUAUUUUAUUCAAGUCUUUUCUCAUCUUGUUGUGUUUAUUGGCAAAGAUCCAAUCAACCCUACAUGUUAUAUUUAUUCAUUUAAGUAUCUCUUUUCUAUACUUUUUAGUUUCCCUCUUUUUUCUACUUGAGAUAACUUUAUUGUCUAUAGAAUAAUUUAUCUCUCAAAUGUAUGCUUCCAAUAAAUCAAAAAUCACAAAAUAAAAAUACAAAAUAUUAGUUCUUUAAUAACCUUUUCAAUCAUAUCAAAUCAUUUUAAAAUAAACUAGGUUUACAAUUAGAUCAUUUAAAAAUUUUAAAAUUGUACUCGAACACGAUAUCGAUCAUUAUUAUCAUUACAAAUUAAAGUAAAACUACACUUUCAACUUAAAGACACCAAAAAAGAUAUGGAUUAGUUAGAAAAGGGAGAAGUAGAUUAAUCCUUCACGCCAGAGUGCUAUUUUUAGGGGUUUUUUUUUUUUUUUUUUGCCCUUUUUCUUUUAGAUGGCCACUAAGGAAAAAAGAAAAGUAAUAAAGUAGGUUAAGGUUGUUCUUUCUUUUUUCGAUAAUUGAUAGAUGUGAAAAAUUGAAUCUUUAACCUUCGUAGUCUAAAAAUUUAUGUUAAUUUAACUACACAUACUUUUAAUCACAUGAAUAAUCGAAAGAAAACAAAUGUAAUGUGUGUUGUAUUUAGAAUAAUUAUUAAUUCAUUAUUCAUGUUGAAAGACAAAUCUAAAGUUAAAGAUGAAUUUAUAAAUAAAGCAGUAUAUUAUUAAAUAUAUGAUGUGGAAUGUUUAAUAAAACUAAAAAAAAGUGUUUUUCUUUAGCGUUGUGAUUUCAUUAGUUGUUUGUUAUUAAGUAUCAUUUAAUAAAUUGUCAAAUGUUGAAUGGAAGGAAUAUGUACUCGACAUUUGGAGUACUAUAUAUAAAGUUUUUUAACAAAAACAAAAAAGGUUAGAAAAACGCUCAAACUAACCAAAUGGUUGUUCGAUCGAUUUAGCCGUUUUUAAAUGAAGAAAAUGAAUUAUUUUCAAUUGGUUUCAAAUUUGUUUAGACUAAAACGAAAAUUGGUUCGAAUAAUUAUGUUUCGAUUCAUGUUUAUUUCUUACAUAACUGAUAAGAUCAAUUACAUUUCAAUACUCUUAUGUCUUGACCAAACCAAAUCACUUGCACUCUUUUGUAUAUAUUAGUUGAAGUCCUUAAUUGAACAACAAUCAUUAAAAUGUAAUAAUGAAAAGAAAAAAAAAAUGUUGUAAAAAUGAGACCAUAAAAACUAGAGAAAAAAUAUUAAAAUAAACAUUAAAUUAAGAAAGUAUAAAAUUCUCCAAAAAUUACACUUUCUUCAAUUUAUUCGAAAAUUUUACAACGCAUGUGUCUUACAAAAAUCCACCAAAUGUCACCAUUUGUAAAUAAUUUGACAAACAUGAGUUGAAUUAUAUGAUCACUAAUAGUUAGCAUCUUCAAUAUAUAUAACAAUAUAGAUGAAAAAAGAGUGACAUAUGAGAUAUGACAUCGUAAUAUUUAUAAUAAAAGUAACUUUCUUCCACUAUAGUUAUUGACUAAUGACAAAGGGAGUAUCCAUCCAAUUGAUUUAACCUAUACUUUAUUUUAUAUAAACAUGUACGUCUCUCAUAUUGAUUUAAUAUAAUGUGAACAUAUAUAUAUGUUGAUUUAAUAUAUAGUGUGAACAUAUAUGUUUUGUUGCUUUAAUGAUUUAACAUGGAAUGAAUCUUAUCGUUUAAUUGUUAUUCUUUUAUAUUAUAUUAAAAUCCACUUGCGAAUGUUUACAUCAAUUUUUUUAAAAGUUAAUUUAAAUUACUCAUACUAUUUUAGUAUUUUAUAGUGUUAGGGAAAAAAAGCAAAAUUAAAAUCUUGAUUUUUAUUCAAUUUUAAGAAAAUGGGCAGUUCUAAUAAUUACUCCUUGUAAAAAAAGUUAUUUUUAUUUUUAAACUUUGACUAAGAAGUUAGCCUUAAUUUUUUUUUUAAGAAAAAGAGAAAACAAAAAUUAUUAAAUAUUUUUUUGGGGUAAUGCAAGCUAUUGAAUAUUGAUGAAAAAAUUAUAUUAUACUCCAAACAAAGGUUCGAAUUCCCAUUAUUUUUAUUAAUAAAUAAAGAGUCAAUUUAUUGAUGAGACCAUAACAAAAUAAAUUAAAAUAUUUACCACUUAUAACAAAAUAUUUUUGUUAUUGUAUAAAAUCUAAAUUUUUACUAUAUAUAUAUUAUAAAUAUUUUGUCAAAUUUAUUAUUUUUUACCCUUUUUUAUUUAUUUAAUAAUAUUAUGUUAUUUUUAUACUAUUUAACAGAAAUUUCUUACGAAAUUACAUAUCUAAAUUUUAUUGAUUUUUUCCUAAUUUAAACUCUUCUAAACACUCACUUAGAAAAUUGUUUAAAUUUAAAAUUUUCUUUGCUUCCAAUUAAAUAAAAAAAACUUCAACUAAAUAGUUAAUUUUACUUUUUUAGAAUUUAAAUAUAAGCUUUUAAAACUUUCUAAUCAAACCAAAAUAAAAUUGGCUAUAAAAUUAUCUACAUUGAUGUGUGUAUUUAUAUAGUUCAAUUUUUUUAAAAAAAUAUUAUAUACACAUAACAACAAAAGUAAACGAGGAAAAAGAUAAGAUAAAAUUAUCUAAAGAUGGAUUAUUAUUAGUAACAUUGGAGCCUAUAUUUCAUAAAAUAAAUUAAUAGUAAAUAUAUUAUUAGAGAAUUUGGAAUGUAAAUUAUUUUAAUUUAAAUUAUAAUAAUACGUAUUUAAAGGAUAAAUUAUUUAAUUUAAAAAUAUUAUAAAAUUUUAAUGUGAUAUGAUUAUUAGUAUAAUAUGUUUGUAAUCUAAAGAAAUAUUGUUGUGAAAGAGCCAAAACCCUAUCCUUCUCCCCUCCAAUCAAGGCCACAUUUCCUUACCUUGAAAUUUCCACCCUUUCACACAUACUUUUGUUUGUUUCAUUGCUAUCCAAACAAAUUUUGACAAAUACUUUUCAAUAAUUCCUAAUUUUUCUUCCAUUCAUUCUGUACUAUAAUAUACUUCUGUUUCAUUCCCUAUGAAUCCAUUUUAACUCGACUUUCAAAUAGUGUAUAUAUGUAAUAGUACAUUAGUAGAUCUUUACGGUUUGAAUCUAAUUUCUAUAAGUUCUUCACAAAGUUUGAAUAUGUAUACUUUUUAGUAUUUAAACUUUGAGUUUCAUUUCAAAUUAGCACGUAUGUUUGAAUUUUAGUAUUUAAACGUUGUUAUAGGGUCAAAUAAAUAAAAUAAAUAAUUAUAUGAGAUAAAUAUAUUCAAAUUAGUGUAUUUUCUUUUUAGAAUUUUUUUUAUUAAGAUUGUGGUGUGGGUGCAUGAAUCCAACUUCAAUGAACAUAUUUAUUAAUUACCUAGAGGUUGUCGUCAAUUUCAUACACAAACGAGAUUACCAAUAAUAGUGUGUAUCUAAGAGGGGAUUACAUUGAAACUUUGUUAAUACAACUUUAAUGCUCACUAAUUGCCGUAUCAAAUAUAAUUAUAAUAGUUAUAAAUCUUAUAAAACCAUUAAUUAAUUCGAAAUUUUAAAGUUUGUAUGUUGAUUUUUUUUUUAAUAUUGUAUACUAUUUCAAGUUAGUUCAGUUAAAUGUUUGGAUAAAACUAUUUCAUUUCAAAAGUUUUAAUUUUUCAAUUUCACUCAAAAUUUAAUAUGAGAUUUGAAUAUGAAUAUAAAAAAAAUAAUUGAGAUCAACUAAUCACACCAUGAAUUUAUAUUUUUUUAUUACCAUGAAUUUAUAUUUUUUUAUUUUUGAAAAUAGUUGAGUUCAAAAUUGUGGUUUUUUCAAAGUAAAUUUUUUUGACAAACUAUUUCAACUCCGUAAAACCAAAUAAUUAAAAGAUAAAUUUUUUUUUGAAGUGUAAAUAUUUUGUUCAAUGUUUUAUUUUUUACCAUUUCUCUUAAAAAUAUUAGAAUAUGUCCAAUUUUAAUUACAAAGUCAAUGCUAGAUUUAUAGGCAUAAAAAAUGUAUACAAAGAAAAUUGUUUUUCUUUCUUUUUGAACUUUCUUGUAAAUGAGUUUAAAAUUUAAACAUUUACAUGUUUGUUUAGGUCUUUCUAUAUAUAUAUAUAUAAUUUGAUUUAAAAAUUUAUUUUCUCAAAAUUUGGUUCUAAGUGUUUUCUUUAAAAUAGUUUAUUUUUUAAUCUUAUUUUUAAAAAUGCAUUUUGAAAAGUUAUCAAAUACCUCAAUUUUUUUAAAAUAUAAUUUAAACACUUUAAAUGCAAUCUAAACACAUCCUUAACAUCUAUUAAUUAAUUAACAUAAUUAUUAAAUAUUAAAAUUUAAACUUAAUUUUAUGGAUGAUGAAAAAUAUAUAGUUAAACUUAUACGUCAUGAGAUAUUUUUCUUUCUCCCAUUGGAGUUGGCAAUAGUAUUUGUAUGUUAUUGGGAUGUUACUUAAUUAUAAUUAUUAAAAAAUUAUUUAAUAGUAUUAUUUGAGUAUUUAGAAUUUAAAAUUGAAAAGUAUAGGAAAUAAAUGGAAACAAAACUUAAAUGAAGAAUAAAAGUAAAAUGGUGGGUUUAUUAAAAAUAAACACAAAAUAGAAAAAUAAAAAAAAAAUGUAAACAUAAAAUUUAUGAGCAAAUUACCAAAACUACUAAAAUCACUUAGGAAUCAAACUUAACUUAUUUGAACUACAAACAUUUGAUCUUUAAUUUUAGACUUGUUGGUUGUCUUUUUGUUUUGUUUUUGUAUUUUUGGAUGAAGGUUUUAUGGAUGGUAUAAUUGCAACCCAUCUCAUAUUUUAAAGGUUUUCUUUAUUUUCAAUUUGACCAUUUGAUUUGAUUUUUUUAUUUAUUAUUUGGAAACUAGCCGUAGUACAAUAAUUAAUAAAUACGAUAAGAAUAAGGUUUAGCAAUUUACAAAACCGAAGGAACAAGAAGGCAAUGAACAAAGUCCAUACUCCCAUCAAACAUCUCUCUAUAAAAACCCCAAAAUCCCAUCACUUCCUUCUUCAUAAAUUCCCUUUAUAUCUUCAUUGUAACAUCAUGAACACUUCACUUUCCUAUGCUUUUCUCUUCCUAACAUUCUUCACUUUCCUUCACUUCCCAUCAAUUCUCUCUCGCAAACUAACGACACAAUCUCCUUAUUCCACUAAUACCUUUGAUGUCUCGGCCUCCAUUAACCAAGCCUUAAAUGCCCUUUCCAUCAAACCCAAACCCUUUCAAACCACUCACUCUAAUUACCAUUCAAGUUCACCUCUAUCUCUCUCACUCCACCCUAGAUUGACCGUUCAUAACCCUUCUUACGAGGACUAUGGUAGUCUUGUUAGGGCCCGACUCGCUCGUGGUGCCGCCCGAGCUCAAUCCCUUAAUAGAAAGCUUGAGCUCUCUUUAAAAGGGGGUAAACAAUUUGGUAGAAGAAUUAAUGGAUCUGAUUCUACAAAUUCACUUACUGCUCCCGUUACUUCAGGGGCGAGUCAAGGAGCUGGCGAAUAUUUUGCUCGGAUUGGAGUCGGUCAACCUGUGCAAUCGUAUUUUUUUGUGCCUGAUACUGGAAGUGAUGUUUCGUGGCUACAAUGUCAACCAUGUGAUGGUGAGAAUGGUUGUUAUAAACAAAUUGGCCCGAUAUUUGACCCGAAAUCGUCGUCUUCUUAUAGUCCGCUGUCUUGCGAUUCGGAACAAUGUCAUUUGUUGGAUGAAGCUGCUUGUGAUGCCAAUUCAUGUAUCUACGAAGUUGAAUAUGGUGAUGGAUCAUUCACAGUCGGUGAACUUGCCACCGAAACGUUCUCAUUUCGACAUUCUAAUUCCAUUCCUAAUCUCCCGAUUGGUUGUGGUCAUGACAACGAAGGCCUCUUUGUUGGGGCUGCUGGUUUAAUUGGCCUCGGUGGUGGGGCAAUUUCCCUUUCUUCUCAAUUAGAAGCGACGUCAUUUUCAUAUUGUCUGGUCGACCUAGACUCAGAAUCAUCCUCCACUCUUGACUUCAACGCAGACCAACCAAGCGACUCACUCACCUCCCCACUUGUGAAAAAUGAUCGAUUCCCCACGUUUCGGUACGUGAAAGUAAUUGGGAUGAGCGUCGGUGGGAAGCCUUUACCGAUUUCCUCGUCAAGCUUUGAAAUCGAUGAAUCAGGAUCAGGGGGAAUAAUCGUGGAUUCUGGGACGACUAUAACUGAAAUACCAAGUGAUGUGUAUGACGUGUUAAGAGACGCGUUCGUGGGGCUAACAAAGAACCUCCCACCAGCACCAGGGGUAUCACCGUUUGAUACUUGUUAUGACUUAUCAAGUCAAUCGAAUGUGGAGGUGCCAACCAUAGCAUUUAUUUUACCAGGGGAAAACUCGCUACAACUACCAGCAAAAAAUUGUUUGUUCCAAGUGGACUCAGCUGGAACUUUCUGCUUGGCGUUUCUUCCAUCAACAUUUCCACUUUCUAUUAUUGGGAACGUCCAACAACAAGGAAUACGUGUCAGCUAUGACUUGGCCAACUCUCUCGUCGGAUUCUCGACUGAUAAAUGUUAAAACUCAACCGACAUGUGAGUGGGAUUAUAGUUGUUUAAUUUGGGUUCAUUACAUUAUUCUAAGCAAAUAAAAUACUAUAACUUAUCAUAGUACAUUGUAUAAAAAAAGUUUAUUAUAUUUAAUAGUGUGUUGAAUUAAUUAAUCAAAUAAUGUGAAUGUAUUUCUUUCAUAUGAUUGAUAUUGUUUGUCGACUAAUUACUCAACCAAUUACGAAAACAAUGGUACAAAUGUUUUCUAUUCAUAAAAUUUAAAAUAGAGAGGUGACGAACCAAAAGUCUCAAUCUAGUAAUUGAAACACUAAAACACAAAACAAACCCACAUAAUCGUUUUCUUCUAAAUUUUAAGCUAAAAAACAAAUAGACUAACUAUACUCUUAACGACCUCAAUGUAAAUUAAACCAUCGUUUUUAUCAAAUAACAACUUUAAAAUUAUGUUAAAUUUGCAAUUGCAAAGACUGCUUUGUUUUCUUCUCAAGAAAGGUGACAAAAAUUAACAAUGCUCUAAUAUAUAUAUAUAUAUUAUCAAUGAAAUAAACUCAAAUUUUAAUGUUAAGAAAAGCUUGAUGACCUACAAAAUGUGCUUCAAAUUAAUUCACAUCUCUAGUCGAAUAUUGGAUGUUGACCACUCCGACUCAAUUAUUGUUCUCAUCCCAUGGUUUACUUAAUUAUAAUCUCUUUUAUAUUGUUAAUUAUUGAUAUAAUCCUCCAUGGGUUGCUGUUUGCCAAAAUAGUAACAAUAAAUGUCUAUUUUAUGACAAUAAUGAACUCUAAAUAGAUUGUGACAUGAAUUAUUGCACAUUAUUAUAAUCCAAAACAUCAUUAUAAUUUACUUAAAAUAAUUUGCACAUGAGGGGUAGAUUAUUUUACUUUCAAUUAUAAAUAGUAUAUGUUUGACACGUAAACUAUUUUAAUUUUAGAAAAAAAUAGUAAACAAUACUAUAGCAAAGAAUAAAAAAUAAUGAAUAUAAAAUCGUAAAAAUGUUGCAAAUAGUAAAUAUUGUAGUAAAUAGAGGAUUUUGUGUCCUCAAAUUUUCUUUUUUCUUAAGUUAUGGAAAAUAGUAAUGAUAACGUUAGUACUAUUAUGAACAAUAACAUUUUUCUUUAAAAAAACAUAUUAUAUGAUAAAAUAGCAAAGAUGAUUUUACAAUUUUUAUUAAACUUUUAAUUCAAUGGUCACAAUCAAAUGUAAUAAGAAGUCAAAUAAUAAUAGUUUUGAGUGAAUGCAAAGUGUAUAUGUUUGUAUUAUCAAUUAAGAAUGAAUUAUUAGGCCGGAAUGGAGGGGGUGAAAAUUAAUUAAAUAUAUAUAUAUAUGGUCUAUGAAUAAAUAUAAAAUAGUUGAUAAUUUAAUUAUAUGAAAUACCAAUUGAAUUUUCAAAGUAAAUGAGUGUUUGAUUGGAAGAAAUAUUAUCAAUUAUGGGUGCAAAAUUAUAUUAUUAGCAACAUGGCAAAGGACCCACAAAGAAAAAGGUUAAAGCAUUAUUUUCUCCCCAAAAUUGUUGGAUUAUUUCGAUUGAUAUUAAAAUAAAAUAGUUUAUGUGUUUUCUUUUAAUAUAGAUUUUAUAACUAAACAAAUUAUUACCUUUUUUAAAAAAUUAUGAUUUUAGUUUAUGAUACUAUUACAUAAAUAUGAAAAUGAAUAUAAGUUUGUUGGGGUGAUUUAAUAACUUUUAACUAAUUAAAUAAUCAUCUGUUUACAUUUUAAAUUUUCAAUUUAAUUUAGGGAUAAAAAAUUGAUUUUUUUAUAUAAAUAUAUUAAAAUGGAUCAAAAUAAAUAUAAAGAUAACAAAACGUUAAUAGUCUAUCGAUGAUAUCACUAAUUGCAACUAUCAUCAUUUAUUAACAAUACUAAUAGAUAUCUAUUAUUGAUAAAGAAUACAAUCUUAUUAUAUUAAUAAAUAUUUUUAACCGUUCCAUUCAAAAUAAUUACUCUAAGAAUAUAUUUAUUUAGUAUUUGGACACAAACCCUACAAACAAGUAGUAAACAAAAACUUAACUUAACUGACACUUAGUUACAUUUGAAGAUUAAAAUAUUUCAAUUCGAACAAGAUAAUAGGCAGUAAAAAAGAAUAAUUAUGAUAAAGAAUAAAGUUUGGAAGAUGGGCAUGAACAUCAAAAGUCAAAUCAAUCUUUAGAAAAUCAAUAAUGUUUUCACAUAUCAUUUUCUAUAAAAACCAACCAAUGUCUUCACUUCCAUCUUCAUCCAAUAAUUCAUUAUCUUUUCAUUCCCAACAUGAACACUUCACUUUCCUCUGUUUUUCUCUUCCUAACAAUCUUCACUUCCCUUCAAUUCCCUUCAAUUCUCUCUCGCAAGUUAACACCAUCUUCCUAUUCCACUUCCAUCUUCGAUGUCUCUGCCUCCACAAACCAAGCCCUAGAUGCCCUCUCCAUUAAACCCAAACCUCUUCAAAAUCAUUCUCACCUUCCAAAUUCCCCUUUCUCUCUGCCAUUGUACCCUAGAUUGGCCCUUCAUAACCCUUCUUACAAGGACUACAAUACCCUUGUUAGGGCCCGACUCACUCGUGAUGCCGCUCGAGUUCAAUUCCUUAACCGAAAUCUUGAGCGCUCUUUAAAUGGGGGUACUCAUUUUGGUGAAAGUAUUAAUGAAUCUCUAAUUGGAGAUUCAAUUACUGCUCCGGUUGUUUCGGGGCAAAGUAAAGGGAGUGGUGCUGAGUAUUUAGCUCAGAUUGGGGUUGGUCAGCCUGUGAAGUUGUUUUAUUUGGUGCCUGAUACUGGUAGCGAUGUCACGUGGCUUCAAUGUCAACCUUGUGCUAGUGAGAAUACUUGUUAUAAACAAUUUGACCCUAUUUUCGAUCCGAAAUCAUCGUCUUCAUACAGUCCUCUGUCUUGCAAUUCUCAACAAUGUAAGUUGCUAGAUAAAGCCAAUUGCAAUUCCGACACAUGCAUAUACCAAGUCCACUACGGUGAUGGAUCAUUCACAACUGGUGAACUCGCUACCGAAACACUAUCGUUUGGAAAUUCAAAUUCUAUUCCUAAUCUCCCAAUUGGUUGUGGGCAUGACAAUGAAGGCUUGUUUGCUGGUGGAGCUGGUUUAAUAGGCCUCGGUGGUGGGGCCAUUUCCCUUUCUUCCCAAUUAAAAGCGUCAUCAUUUUCAUAUUGCCUCGUCAACUUAGAUUCAGACUCAUCCUCCACUCUUGAGUUUAACUCAAACAUGCCCAGUGACUCGUUGACCUCUCCGCUCGUGAAAAACGAUCGAUUUCACUCGUAUAGGUACGUCAAAGUCGUUGGAAUAAGUGUUGGGGGAAAAACUCUACCAAUUUCACCGACAAGAUUUGAAAUUGAUGAAUCGGGAUUGGGAGGAAUAAUCGUUGAUUCUGGUACAAUUAUAUCUCGACUACCGAGUGAUGUCUAUGAAUCAUUAAGAGAGGCAUUUGUGAAGCUGACGAGUAGCCUAUCACCGGCACCAGGGAUAUCAGUGUUCGAUACAUGUUAUAACUUUUCAGGUCAAUCGAAUGUGGAGGUCCCAACAAUAGCAUUUGUGUUGUCGGAAGGAACCUCGCUACGACUACCUGCAAGAAAUUACUUAAUUAUGUUGGACACAGCAGGAACUUAUUGUUUGGCGUUUAUUAAAACGAAAUCUUCACUUUCUAUAAUUGGUAGCUUCCAACAACAAGGAAUACGUGUUAGUUAUGACUUGACAAACUCCCUCGUUGGAUUCUCAACUAAUAAAUGUUAGUACCAUAAACUUAUAAUAACUCAUGUAACACCACGUGGGAUUAGAAUUUGGCUUUAAUCACAUUGUUCUAAGUCAAUAAAAUAUUGUUGUUUAUCAUACACAUGGGCUUUGCCUAUGAAAGUCUUAAUUUAGUAGUGUGUUGAACUAAGCAAAAAUAAAACAAAAACAAAAAAAGUUUCUUUCUUCGUAUUGUUAUCGUUCCUAAGAAACAAAUUAUAGAGAAGUUUUAUAUUCCUAAGAAAUGUGAAUGUAGAAAGUUUUUGUUAAUGGAUUUGUAAUUCUCUCUUAAUAACAACAAGAUUGCAAAGUUCACAUCCUUUGGUAUUUUCCAUACUUUGUUUUGGUUUAUUAUUUUCACAAUAUAUGUGGGAACAAAUAAACAUCUAAUCUCUUUUACAUUGAAUGGGUCAGGGCUUUGUUGUUUGGACGACUUUGAAAAAGACGAGUUAGGACUCAAGUCAACAAGCAUACCCCACAAACUCUGCUCAUUGAUUCUUAUAAUUUCUCUUUUGUUUGAUUCACUCAUUCCUUUAGCUGUUUUCCAUUUCAAAACUUCAAAAUUAUGGAAUGACGUAAUUGAUACCUUUACGUAGGGUGUGGAGUUUACUAUUCGAAUUAAAUUGCUUCUUCUUCUGUAUAAAAUUUAACUACAAAACAAAAACUGUUGAAUGAAACGUUGGGGGCUUAGGGCCUCCCCAUGUGGCCGCCGGCAGCGUGAUUAUGGGAAACUUCUGGGUGAUUUUCGUUUAUUAUUUUCCUUCUUCAUCGUUUUCUCCAUUUAUGGAUUCACAACACCCAAAUUUUUAUAUAUAAUUAUUUUUAUCUUUUAUGCUUCUUUUCUUCUUCUUUUUCUUUUUAAAAAAAACCAAAAAAAUUAUAUAUAAUAUUUUAAAUUACUAUGAAUUUCUUUUUAAGUGAAGUUUUGGGUUCUUUUUAUUUACAAAUGUAUUGUUUCUAUUGAGUUUUAAGUUUGGUUUUGAUCCAAUUCAUACACACUAAUUAAUUUAAUAGAAAUAGAAAUAAAUGUAAAAGUGAAAAAACAAUGAAUUUAAGUAUCAAAUAAAAACUAAACUAAAAAACUUAGGAGUAAAAAUUUAAUUAUAAAAUCUAAAUUAUAAACUGAAAAGAACCAAAGAGGCAUUUUCUAAGAAACAAUUCAGUGACUCUUUUUUUAAUUAUCUUUUUCGCUCUUUUUAGAAUAUGCAAUUAAUACGUUUACUAAAGUAAUAGAAAAAGGUAAGAAAAAAGAAAUAUAUUCGCCGUUGCCGGGGAUCGAACCCGGGUCACCCGCGUGACAGGCGGGAAUACUUACCACUAUACUACAACGACUUCUUGUUUAAUCAACAAAUAUAAUCCAAUAAAUCUAAUAUUUUACUAAGCUAAUUUUGUUGUUAUAUAUAAUUCUUUUAUGAAAGUAAUGAGCCCCCCAUUCUUAUAAAGAGAUAGUAUUUGUUAAUUACAAUUAAAUUAUUAUGCAACUUUUUUGUUUUUUAUAUGUUGUUUUUUCAGCAUAACAACAGUGUGAAUCACUGUUGAGCUAAAAUCACUUUGGCAAUUUAUUAUAUUGUUAAAAGAUACAUUAUACGAGAUAUAUAUUAAAAUGAAAUCUUUCUUUUUUUCAAAUUUUUUUAAAAUUUAUAUUAUAUUUUGAUAGAAUUCAAAAUUGGAUUAGAAUCAGAAAGAUAUCAUUUUAAUUUAUUCUUAUAUUAAUGUUCCAGAAAUAUGAAAAAAUUAAAAAUAGACAUAAAAAAACCUAAUCCUAUUCAUAGUAUGACACUUUUUUUUCGUUAUUCCUACUUCGAUUAACCAUCAUGAUAAGGAGAUACAAAAACCAAUAUUCGAGAUACUAGUUGAGUUAUAAAGUCAAGAGUUAUUAUGUAGAAGUUAGGAAGUCUAUGUUCGAAGUAAAGAUUUGCAAGAUGAAGUUCUUCGAUAAAUUUACAAGUUGUCAAGUUCUUGACCGUAUUGCUCUUAAUUUUCAAGCUUGUAUUUUCUAGAACUUUCUUUGUUUCAGUCCUUUAGCAGCAUAAGACUACGAUGAAGACAAUAGCUGACCCCAAAAGUAUAUAGGUAGAAAAAUGGUAAGAUUUCAUUAAUGGCAUCAUCAUCAUGACUAUUUGUAUUGAUAUUUUACAUUUACAUCUAUUUUCCCAAUGGCUCCAAGUGCCUCCAAGUGCAUAUUAAACUUUCUACUCUCUAUAACAUAUAAUGAGAUUAGUAUGUAGCUAAGCUAACUCAUCAGCAGCAUUCAUCCUCUCAAACAUCUUUGGCUGACUAUACCUUAAAGCAGUGGCAAAACCUUCUCCAACACCCUGGAGUUUUCAAUGUUUCCCAUUCCAUAGUGUCGCUAAACUUCGCUUUCUCGCUCAACUCAUCAAAUGAGUCGACGAGGUUUUGCAGCCUUGCUACAAAUUCAAUCAAGAGAGAAGUAAACGUAGCUAACGACAAUGCGCUUGCAUUUUCGUAUGUUUUCGAUUCUUCUUCAUGUAUUACUCCGUUUUGUUUGACUGAUACCUGUGCAGGCCAUGAUCCUAGUUUCUUGAACAUUUUUGAGGGGGGGAGUGGAGUGGACGUUAUAGAGUUUAUGUCUGAUGACGCAGAGUCAUCCCAGCUUUUCAGGAUUGGUAAGGUCCUAAGAUCAAGCACAGCUUCACUGAGUGAUCUGUAUUCACGAAACCUUAUUUCUUCAUCGUCCAAGUUGAGUAGUUCUUGGGGUUGUCCUACGUCCUCGGGACGAUUGCCAAUUUCCCAGCUCUCUGAAUUGACUAGAAGGUAGGAUUUUGCGUCUAUCUUCUUUUGCAACUCUUCUGCAGCAUCAUGUACCUCAGAGAGUAUGGAUGCCGAAUCUAAUUUCUCCAUUUUCUUCAACUUGUUCCCAAGCUCGCGCAGGACUUUAGCACCUUCGUAACCUACCCUCCGAAGCUCACUACCAAAUACCUGUCGUCUUUCAGCUGAAGCCUAGACAUUCAAAUAUAUUCAUUAAAAGUAAGACUAAAACAAUAUGCAACAGUGGACAAUAUAAAUGAAUGGAAGCUCAAAAGAUUACGUAUCCAAUGAAUUGAUGCAUAUUUUAUGCAAAAUGUCAAACAAAUAUAUAUUGAUCAUGACUCGAUGCAAAUGUGAAGUUCGAGCAUGAAGAACAAAGUACCUGUAUUUCUGAUAGUAUACAUCCAUGUAAUGCCAUUAUAGCAAAGGCACAAUGCCUCAGUGCACCGGCUACUUUAACAUAAUUUUUCCAUGGAUAUUUAAGCAUCCUGUAUCGACCGUGUGGCGGUUCCCAGAUUGCGAAUCCCAUCUUCAGACAAGAAAAAGAGAAGAUUACAGAGAAUAAAAAAGAUGGAACGCAUUUUUUAGUAAUUUGUAAUUGUAUUUCUUUUCUUGAAGGGGAAUAAGGAAAGUCAGCAUAAUGCUGUAAAACUCACCAGAGUUUCCUCUUGACUCAAAGAUUCCAUUGCUGACCUAUAGCCUUUGUACAAUGGAUCAUCAGAUGCUUGGUAGGUGAGGAUUUUCGAUGGUAUUCUCUCGUACUCGACACAAUUAAGGUAGCUGUCAACACAACCUAAUUGAAGGGAAAGUAGUUGAGCAAAAACGAUCAAAAUCACAAGUUAUUUGGUAUCACAUUUAAAUUUGACUAAUGCCAGCAUCAAAUAGAAAAAAGCUAACCGACCUUCUAAGGAUGCAGCCACGCCUCCAAAGUUUUUAACUACUAGAUUAUGUAGAUCUUCACCAGCCCAAAUGGGGUAAAUGCAUAUGUUUACAACCAAACACACUCCAGCACCAAGUGCAAUGAGUAAGAAUCGUGUCACGGCGGUAUGGAUAAAUUCUCUAGUUCUAUAUCCCGACACCAUUAUGAAACAAUAUGUCAACAAGAAGACUCGAAAUCCAUAUUCGUAAGGCUUCAUUGUGGGAUACAAUUUAGCAUAAGUAGCAAAGAAUCCUGCCAAAACAUCAUAAACCCACCAAAUCAGAGAUUCUUUAUAUAAAAUAAACUGAAGGGAUGGGUCAGAAAAGACAUUCUGUCAACUUCAAAAUCAUUAAAUCAAUGAUUAGAAAGAAAAAGAAAACAGACCCAUGAUAAAGAUACUGGUAACAACCACAACCUCUUCCCAUUGUCCUGCAAGAACUGAUAACUCUGCCAUUCCCAAUGCAAGACCUCCAGCUGAAAGUGUGCCAAUUCCACGGUUCAGUCCUUUGCUUAAAGUUGCUCCUGCACACAGAAUCAUCAUUUUGGAUCCAAUAACCAAACAGAUCAUGGUGAAAGAACACAGAAGUUCUAGAUUUAGAGUACUCAAAAGGCAGAACAACAUUAAAAUACAUAACAGAAUGACUAUUAAACAAGAAUUGACCAAAGAUGGGCCCAUAAAUAUAAUAUCCACAACACUAAUUACAACAAAAACCAAAGAUUUCAGCUACCCCACUUUGCCAAAAAGACAAUCAACGAUUAGGUUUGAGGAGCAAGUAAAAAUCUAACAGUUCAAAAGGGGCAACAAUGGGCCAUCCCGAUUUAAUAAACAUUAAAUUAGAUAAACAGUUAUGAGUAAGCUCAAGUUUCUUGGUUUCAGCGUAUGAUUUAAUACAUUAAUCAUUAUGGAGUCUAAUGAAAGUCAAGUGUAAAACGUAACCCAAGGCCAACCCAGAAGCAAAUUCAAAACAGAAUUAAGAAACAAAGAUGGAAAUUCAAGAUUACCAAUGCUAAACUCAAAGACGACAACAACAGUGAGAAUAGCCCAAACAGAGUAGCGGCUGAGCUCUUCAACUGGUUGUUUGAAGAAUAUCAACAAAGAAAUGAGCGUAAGAGCGAGACCCAUUUUAGCAGAGAAAACGAUCUUUCUAGGGUCAGAAACACCCAUCUGCCAAGCUUUGUAAAGAACAUCCUGAACGGAGUUCCAUAUAUAAGAAAAUCUAUGAGAAACGGAGGAACAACAGGAAGGAUUCUCAUGAAUGGUUUGAAUGGCGUUGAAACCCAGGUCGGGAAAUUCCUUGGCCGUCGAAAGAAGCCUCUCCCUCCUCUCGGCAAAACUGUGUUUGAAGGAACCGUAUUUGGGCACCAUGGCUUUGGUUGUGAAUCGAAUCAAAACUGUUGAACAAAGAAACACAGACCCUUUCAAUGGCGAAAACAAACAAAAACCGAUGAGAUAGAUGAGAAUUUAGAGAAUUUUUUCAAAGUGAUUCCCAGAUAAAAAGGAGAAAAAAUGAGUUGAAAUUGGCGCAAGUUUAAUAGUGGUGGACUGAACUCAGCCAAAUUAUUGUUCAACAAUUCCUCGCAUUUAUCAAAUGUAUUUGUGAAGCCUUCAUCUUUCUAUUAUUAUUAUCAUCAUCAAUACUAAUAAUAAUUACUUUUUCUUUUCCCUUUCCCUAAUUUGCUAACACCAAAUUUAAUAUAUUUACUUUUACAACCAUAAGCUAAACUUAUAAUUUAUUAUAACUAGAUACCAAAUUAUUGAUUUUAAUUAUCUUUGGAAACCUAACUAAGUGUUCAAAAAGAAAAAUAGAAAACUAAUUAGUUAAGCUUGUGAAAAAUUAAUAGAUUAAUUAAAGGUUUCAUGGUGGGUUUUAGUUGUGAGUAUGUGUUCACUGUUUAGUGUUAGGAAGUGGAAAUUGGAAUGGGCAAAAUGUGAUGAUGAGAGGAGAGAUUUUGAAUUUGAUUGGUGGGAGGAAAAGGAGGGACCCAUGUGAUUUUGAGGCAUCCCACCUGUCAUUAUCCACGUCGACAUUCAUUCCAAAUUCCCUCAACGCUUUUCUUUUUUGUGUAUCAAAUUAUUAUUUCUUUAUAUAUAAAUAAACAUUAUAUAAUUGUUCAUGAAUUUGUCCACUAAAAUAUAGUUAAGUGAUUUAGAUAGCUGCACGCUUCUCAAAGAUAUAAUGUAAUGUGUAUCAAUUCUUUUAAAUUUGAUUUUUAUAUAAUGUAAAUAAUAGAAAAUUUGUGAAAGAAUAAUAAAAUAGUUAGACAAAAAUAUUUACAUGGAUUUUUUUUAAAGAGUUUGUUUCUUUACUUUUCUAUUUUUUGAAAAACCUUUCUAGGUUAUCUAAAAAUUAACUCUAUAGCUGUUAAAAAAUUGAUAGCAAACUUGUGAAUAUUUAGAUUAAAGUAAAAUGAAUGGAGUUAAUGAUAAUUUUACAUUUUCACCCUUUUUUUUCUUUUAACUAAAAACAUGAUGAAGGGCAAUGAUGGAAGCAAUUAUGGUUAAUUUGGAACACAAGAAGAAAGUUUUUUUUUUUUUUUUUACUUUUUAUGUUUCCUUCUAAUUUAAAGGAAAUAAAAAUAGUAAAUGAAAGUGAUGAUAAUGUGGAUAAGACAAAUGAUGAUAAAUAAAAAUUUAUAUUCAAUCAACUUUACACCAUACCUUUGUGUUCCAUCAAAGUAUUCCCAAUCCCAAUCCCAAUCCCAAUCCCAAUCCCAAUCUUCUUCUUCAGCUAUGUCAAUGGCAAUAUUGUUAUUAUGACCUUAUAUAUAAUCCGACAACCCCGACUAACCAAUCGAGAAGGUUAGUAUUGAUUGGGUUAAUCUUUAUUUUUAGUUCGGUAAUGUUAAAUUUUUUAUUUUUUUAUUUUUUGUUGGAUUUAACUUAGGUUACCGCUUUUAAAAUUUGAGUCCAACUUGUAUUUCUAAUAUCUAUAAUAUAUAUAUAUAUAUGUAUGUAUAUAUAAUAAAUAUUAUAAUGCAUGUAUAUUAUUACGAUGUUUGUAAUAGAUAUGUUGGAUCUUGUUACCCAGAAUUGCUAUGAAUAAAAAAUUAUGACCCAAACAAAAAAGUCAGUAACAAAUUUAAGUAUUUUAAGUUAAUAAAAAAUUAAACUUAAACAAAAAUAAAUAAAUAAUAUGAUAAUUCAAUUGAACGAACGUGGGUUGAAGAUCAUAUUUGAGCAUUUGGGUUGUCAAUUUAACCUAUCCAAAACUUUGGGUCGAUCCAAAAAAUCCCACAAACCAGUACACGUACAGUCCUACUUUAUAUUGUAGAUAGCUCACAACACCUAGUGAUAUUGGAGGCUUUUAGAGGGUUAUCGACUUUUACAAUUUUAAAAAAUUUGUGAAAUUUGUUUUUGACAAGUUGUGAUUAAAUAAUUGAGUGAGAUGUAAUAAGUGAUAUUCGUGAUAGCAACUAAUUUUAUGUUUUUUUCUCAGUUUUUUUUUUGUUAUAUUUGAAAUUGCAAUAUCACAUAUUUAAAACUCCAUGUCUUAUAUAACUAUGGUUGCUAUCAAAUUUUGAUUGAUAGAACUAUUAAUGUAGAGUUCGUCAGUGGUCCACAAAUUGGACUUCUUCGACUUUUCUCCCCACAAAAUUAAUAUCUAUCUAUAUAGACUUGAGAACAUAGGCUUGAGAAGGCUCGAACUAGUUGGUUUAUGUUAAUGGUGGUAGAAAAAAAAUGCAUUGUUUACUUUUCUUUUAUCAAGAUUAAAAUAGUUUUUACCCCAAACAAAUGCUAUUAUGAAGUGGAAAGGAAUAGUUGGUGUUGUGGGAUUAAGAGAAAGAAGCUUUUGAGCCACUACUUCAUUUUAUGCCAUUUUGGGAGCAUGUGGGUCACGUGGCUACCAUUUGAUAGCAAUAUCAACUCCAACGUUGGGCCAUUCAAUCUCAAUUCUAAUAUCUCAAUCAUAUACCUCCAAAAUCUACGUUUCUUUUUUUCUUUCUUUCUUUCAAUUGCUACAGUUUUGGUAUUCACUAUCUUUGUUUUAAGCUCCUUUGAGUAUAUUGUUGUAACAAUCCUCUUGCUAGUUGUGAUCCUCUGAAUAUUUUGCUUAUUUAUGCUCCAGAUUUUGAAUAAUGAAUAAGUUCUUGUCUUGCCUACUUGCUACUGCUUCUGAUUUUGAGUAUUUUGAUUGAAGUUUCUCAACUUCUGUGGUGGUGGUGUCCGAAUGUUGUUUGUUGUAUUUCAAUUUCGCUGUGAGAUGGAAAGAUUAUAGUUCUGAGUAACUCUCAUAUUUAGCUUAAUAAUAUAAUCACAGUGAUUAUUCAUGGAGCAGAGCUAUUACAUCGUUCUAAUUGCUUAAUUUCAUAUUAGUAAAAGUAUUUUUCUUGCACACAUUGUCUCCCAAACGUAAAUAACAUAUUAUCAAAUUGAAUUACUAAACCUUGUGUUUUUUGAAUUUAUCUCUUUAGUUUAUCUCCCUGUUCUUAAAAUUGUUUUCGAGUAAGGUGUCAAACAUUGUUAUUUUUUAAACCGAUGGUUAAAUUGAAAUUGUAAUUUACUCAUAUAUCAGAUUCAAUAACUUUCCAUUUGAGUUUAAUUGGUUUAUAAAGUUAAGAAAAUAUAGAAUAAGUAGAGUCCACAAAACACAAUACUCUGCCCCUACUCUUUAGUAUUUUUCAAUUUUAUUGAAAAUUUUAUUAAGCAUAUUUUUAAAUUCAUUUUUAAGUUUUUAACCAAAUUAAACAUAAACCCAAAAUUAUUGACUUUAGUAUGUUUGAAGUUUAAGAGAAAUUGACAAAAAUGAAAAUUUUGGCAAAACCUUUGCACACUAGUAAAAUUGUUUGUGUAAAUCAUUUUUGGACUUAAGCGAUAUUUUGUCAUUUGUGUAAAUAUUUUGUGAUUUUUUUAAUUAUUAUUACUUAAUUUAAGUAUGCCAUUGACCCAUUUUAAAUUUCAGGCAUAUAAACUUGUGUCUUACUUGACAUAAAAUCAAGGAUCCACCACUUGAAAGAAGUGGUAUUGAUAGCCUUAAUUCGAUUAUGAAGAAAAAGUUGAAUCUCACAGUGAGCUUAGAGUUUGGCAAGAAAAAACAAAAACAAAAACUUAGAAAGUUGAAGUUAUUUGCCCUUAACUCAUGAGUCUUUCACUCCAAGCAUGUUUUGCUUUGGCACUCACAAGUAUUGGAGAGGGAAGAACAAGAAGUGUGUGGAAUGGCACACAGACAGCAUGUUUCAACUCACUUAAACAAUGAACUUUCCCUCUAUUUCUACACUGUAAAAGCUAAAGAAAGCUUUAUUGACUUUGCAACCAUGGCAUCUCUUCCACAUCUCCCCCUUCCUCAACAAGCUAUCUCAUACCUAAGUCUGCUGUUUCUCCUGCACGUUCUACCGAUCACCAUAUCACAAGGUCCAACCAUAUCAACUCCCACCAUAGCUCAAUGCACGACGAGUAUUCUUCCAUUGGCUUCUUGUGCACCUUUUGUGCAAGGUGUAACACCAACACCACCUAUGGGAUGCUGUGAUAACCUGAAACAACUCUACAACGUUGUCCCUAACUGCCUUUGCCUCUUGCUGAAUGGCACUAACUUAAGCUCUUUCCCUAUCAACACUACUAGAGCCCUCCAGCUGCCUGAUAUUUGCAGCCUUCAAGUUAACAUCUCCACUUGUUCAGGUAAAACUAUAAUCCUGUCAUCCUAAAAGAUGUUAUAUUUUUUCUACUCUCUACUUCUCUCUACAAUCUGAUCCCACGGUUUGACAUUUAUAAUUCUUUGAACGGUUCUUUGAAGCUCUCCUUGGGCCACCUAGUCCACCCAGUUCUCAUGUUCCUCCUAGAGUACACAUCAACUCCACAAUUAGCAAUGCUACGGUUCUAGGUAUACUUCAGAUAUUCAUCCAGACGAUAUAGUUUUUGGUUCAGUUCUACUUCUAAUACAGCCUUCGAAUAUGUAACAAUCUGACUCUACUUUUGUAAAUUUCAGCUUCUCCAAUGACUCAACCAACACCAAAACCUAGCAUUGUGGGUUUAGGAUUGGGCAAGAUCAGUGCUAGUUUCAAAUUAAAGGGAGGAAUUCAGCUCACAGUAGUGAUAACAAUAAGCACUUUUCUGUUUCUAGUAGUACUUUAUUGAAAUAAAUUAUCAUAUGAUGUAUGGGGUUGCUUCAGCAGCUAGCAGUGAUGUUCUUCUUUAUUAGACUUCUACUAGAUUGUUUUAGUUAAAUACGCUCUUAACAAAAUAUAGUUGUUUCUUUAGCAUUUUAACGUUUGAACCCGACCAAUUUGAUCCACUUAGCAGCUAGAUAUGCCUUAUUCCCUAAUCUCACUAAAACAGUUAGUCUAAGGACAGCAAUCUAUGUCUACAGAAGAAAGACCUAAAAGAAAAAAACAACAUGUUGAUAAGAAAACUAAGACAUAAGAUCAAAAUCUUAACUAGAUACAAUAGAAUAAAGUUGUCAUAACAUACCUAGAAAAAUAUGCCAUUACAAAUUCACAUAGUAUCCUUUGUUUUCUUUUUCACUUCUUUAACUGCUUGGGAGGAUGAUAAUGUAUCCAAGAUGUGUAAUCUGUUUUUGAUAUGUAAGCAUCAACAUCAUUCCAAACUUGGAGCCACCUCAGUUGGAUUAGAUUCAAACACAUCUGGGUUUGAUGCCUCUGGUUCUAAAAUCUCUCUAGUUUGAACUGAUUCUUUAUAUGCAGGUGUCUCCUUGAAAUCAGUUGCUCCUUCAUUAUAUGUAGUGACAGCAAUUCCACAUGCAAUAAUCUAUUAUAAUGAUGAAUGAAUUAGUGAAGCACUCAUUUACAAAAGGACUACCGAACGUAAAAUAAUUAUCCUUUUUAGAAAAAAAUUUCAAAAGGAAACACCUGGCUAAUGUUAAAUAUCAUAAUUCUGUUCUGUUUAUGAUCAAGAAACAAAUAAGAACUUUGAGAUUGAAAUUCAACAUCUACAAUUUUGGGUUAUGGGUUAAUAUAUUCUCAUUUCAAGUUAAGCAACUAGAUUGCUGGAAUUAAGUAAUUAAUCUGAAUACAACAGAAAACAGAAAACAGAAAAACUAGUGAAAUUAUACCGCGAAAACGAUUCCAAAAGCCCACAAGUACUCUAGGAAGAAGCCAAAGGCAUCCCACUGCGGACCCUCCCAGAAAUCCGGCUGAAGCCCAGGCAAUUGCGGCAAAUUCUCAUCCACGUCAAACACUACACCGGCAUUUUCAACGACGGGACUGCCCAUUUCAACCCCGGCCGUCCGAUUUCGUUCUUCUUCUUCUUCCUGUUCCUUGAUUGUCGUCGAGCUCUUCCGGUUCUUACUGUCGAAUCGGCCUGUUCGGAAGGAGGAUUUCUUGGCUUGAACGAGAUGGAGGGUGCGGGCUUCUUUUGAGGGAUGAAAAAGCGCGUUGCGACGGAAAAGGAAAUAGUUAGAAGGAGUUCUUGUGAAGGUUCUGUAGAGAAUUCCCCCACUGGUGCCGACGGUGGCACCGCCGUUGGUUAUGGUCAGAGGCAUUUGAGUGGUGGAGAGUGAGCUCUGAGCACUCCGAAAAAUGAAAAGAGGAUUUUUUUUUCUUCUUUGCUUCGGAUAAGGAAGAAGAUAUGCGAUUCACUAAAUAAUUCUUUUUAUUAUCAUUAAUAUUAUUCCUUCUUAUUCUCCUCAGUUUUAAUUUUAAUAUUUUUUAUUUAAACAAAAAUAACUUACGUUCUAAACACAAACUAGUAUAAUCGACAUAGCUCUCUUACUUUUCGUAUCUAUUAUCUCACAUACUAUAUAUUUGAAUUCACUUUAAUAUUAUAAUUAUAAAUGAUUAAACCAAAUAUAACAAUGUAAUUAGACAACUAAAUAUUGUAAUUUAGAGGGAAUGAAUCUUAUUGUAUACAUAAUAUAUUUAUGUAUUCAUAAAACAACAAAUUAUUGAUACGUCAAACUUAAAAUGAAAUUUAAGAGUAUGUUUGGUUUUGAAAGAGUUUCAAAAGUGUAUUUGACUUUGUAGAAGAGCAAGUGUGUUUCAAAAUCGAAUUGUUAUGGGAAUGUAUUAUGAUUUAAAGAAUGAAUUUCCAUCUAGAUAUAAUAAGAUUCAUGCACAUGAUACAACAUCGUAUGGUGGGUUCUUAGAUAAAAUAAUAAGAUGUCUUUUAACUUUAAUAUCACUGUCUUAGUUUGUAUACAUUUUGAUCAAGAUGAAUAGUAGACUAAUUUGAUAAAUUAUAUUCUAUUUAUUAUUCAAUAUGUAAGUAAGAAUAAGAUACAUUACUUCACCCAUAAACAUACAAAUCAAACAAGCUCACAAUUACUAUAUAUUGUAUGAUUUAUAAUCAAUAAAUAUUUCAUUUGAAUAUGUAUGAUUGGCAUUAGCUAGACAUAACUAAUUAAUUAUUUAUCAUCAAACAUUCAUUCUCUCACUAAUUUUUUUUAAUGAACGAUUGACUUAGAUAAAUGUUUAAUUUUUUUAGUUGUGUUAUUCCUACCAAAAUUAAACAAUAAUAAUCUAAAAUAUGAAUUAGACAAAUAAUUUAUUAGUAUGAGUCCGUGAUUUUUUUCUACACUACUCUUCAAAUCAUUUAGAAGAAUACACACUACACAUAAUACAAAAUGAAAAUAUUAUAAGGUUUAUAAGAUUGGUAUCAAUUUAGUGUCUAAUUUUGUACAAGAACUAAGGAAGAAAAGAUAGCCAAUUUUAUUGAGUUUGAUCACUACUUGAACUAAUCCAUAUCCACAUAUGGACUAAGCAAAACUACUCCAACUUUCCAUUUAUAUGGUGAAGUCACAUUCACACCCACAAAUUUAAGUAUCUCACUAAAUAGUUCAUGUGAUUUUUCUAAACUCUUAAGUUUGUAAGUUCAAACUAACUAUGAGUGUACGUAAAAUCGAUGAAUCAACCGACCCAUGGAAAACAAUAUGUGUAAUUAAUUGAUUGUAUGCUUUUCUUUCUGUUGUUACUCCUUGUAAUUUUGUAAUUUCUUGAACAAAUUCCACACAUUCAAUUUUCUUUUCUUUUUUUCCCCAAAGUUUUUAGUUUCUUCAUCUUACGAAUACAAAUACAAAUAAAACAAAGUGUGUUCAAUUAACUAUUAUAAACACGGCAUCCUCUCCGAUCGAUACGCCGUCGGCAAUUCCGCCGCCACAUCCGUAUGAUCAAACAAUCCACCCAACGCCACCACCUCCUCUUCCUCUUCCGUACUCCAUUCCUUAAUCUCACAUCUCAAAUUAUCAAACCAACAGUAAUUCGAAACAAUUUCAUCCUCGAACCCUAAACCCCCUUUCACACCACCGCUACCCGAAAACUCCGCUUCUUCAAUUUCCUCUUUCUCACCAGCAGCAGGCGGAAGCCCUAAUUCAUCAUCCGACGCUUCUAAAAGAAAUCCAAGUUCAGGUUGAACAACAGGUACCGUCACCGUCACCGGCACUUCAAUUUCCUUCUCGAAGCUUCUAAUCACCGAAUCAAGAUCUUGAAUCCCCGCCUCCCGAUCUAUGGAAGCGUCGGUAUCGUCUAGAAUCUUCAGCAGGUCUUCCUGAAUUGUGUGAUGCGAGUGAAACGAAUCGGUCGAGUGUGAAACCGGCGCAUCGAAGUUGGAGGCAGCCGGAUUUUCAAGUCGGAGGAACUUGGAAUUGGAUCCAAUAGAAUUGAAGAGGGAGUCGUUGGAAUCGUCCCGAAGACGCUUCCUGGAGUCAAGAGAGGGUUCCAUUAGAGAAGAAGGAAGAAAGAAGAGCGACGACGGGAGGUUUUAGAGUGUAAGACAGAGCAUGGAAUGAGAAUUGGUGACGGGGAAGUGGAGGAAGCAACAUCUGAGCCUUAAAUAGUGAAUUCGUAUGGUUCAAACGCACUUAGGCGCGUACUGAUCUUUUAUUUUUAAAUAAUAUUUAAUAAAAGAAAAAUAGCAAUAAAUAAAUAAAUCAAAUAAAAAUUGUAUAUGAUUGGUAAAUAUGAACUAUAUAAAUUAUACAUUUAUGGCUUCCAAUACCCUAUAUCCAUCUAUGUACCAUCUCCACACACAUGUUGAUUCC